rnacentral:lncRNA from 1 species
UUUUAAUUUAGGCAGUUCAUUAUAUAUUUUCAACCGGCCGGAUGGGCCGGAUACGGACUAGGUUCAACAUGCCCGGUCUAGACCGGAGCACUGGUCCAAGGUUUUUUAUUUCAAUCUUCGGGCCGGACCUUUUGCCGCUUUUGGUAUCGAGUCACGACAAAAUUAGUUAAGUUGUUUGUUAUUUAACAUUUCGCCCCCUCAAAAUUCUGUGUUUUUACUACUAGCCCAAUAAAUUUUAUUUGCAAAAAUGGCCUCUUCCUACCACUCGGGCAUCACGUUGGACAUGAAAGGACUAUGUAGGCGUUUUUAAGUUAAACACGAUAAUUUAGUCACUGUGUUUACAUAUGGUAAUGAAAUUACCGUAUUCUUUUUUGUGUUUUUAACAUGUUCCUUUAAUUCACUUCUUCCUUGAUCGAAGAAUAAGGAGGAUGUGAAUAUCGGCCCUUGGAUGAUAAUCCAAUUACUCUGUUUAAAUACGGUAAUUGAAUUAUCGGAUCCCUUAUGUUUUUAAUGUGUUCCUUUAAUUCACUCGACCCUUGGUCAAAGAAUAAAGAGGAUGUGAACACGGCCCUUUGACGAUAAUUCAAUCACUGUGUUUAAGUCCAGUAAUUAAAUUAUCGUAUUCCAAUUUAUAUUUUUUUCAUAUCGGUCCUUAGUCGAAAAAUAAGGAGGAUAUGAACAUAUGAUUAUUCAAUCACCAUGUUUAGAAAUGAUGACUAGGUCACCAUCUUCAACUUAACAUGGCCGACGUGGCUAUUUAUGCAAAUAUAAAUUUGCUCGAGCCAUUUGUGAAAAAAAAGAUUUGAAGGAGCUAAAUGCAAAAACCCCUUUAGGUUUAUCUAUAAUAAUCUUAAAUAUUUAUUAUUUUCAGAAACCCACAAGGAAAACAAAGGAUCAUUUCUAUUAAUUUUUUUGGGAGUCAAUCAUGUAAUAAAAAUUUCGAUGCUAAACAUAAAAAUACACACUGAAUAAUCUGUUUUUAACAUCAAUACAACUAAAUCCGCGAAGGAUUAGAUAUAAACAUAUAACCAAGACAUGAAGAAUCACAGGCCAAAUACCAAAAAAUACAACUCUGAAAGAAGGAUACCAAAAAGCUGGUGCAGAAACAUCACAUAACACAUGGUUUUGAAUGAAUAGAACCAGUCAUAAGAAGCUAAAAUAGGAUGUGAAUAUUUAGGAACAUAAGCAGGUCUCUCACGCACAAUCCUUGUAUUUUAUUGUCACUAUUUAGUUAUUUAUGGUGACGAUAAAAUAAAUCGCCAUUAUUUGAUUAUGACGAUAAAAUAAAUCGCCAUUAUUUGAUUAUCUAUAAUGACAAUAAAAAAAAUUACCACCAAUUAAUUAAAUUUAAUUUAUUUAAAUUAAUAUUUUAAUUUAAUUUUAAAAUUUUAAAAAAUUAAAAAAAAAUCCUUACUUCCCUCAGCUCACCCGGCCUCUCCCCUCUACUUCUUCCUGUCAACUACUCUAAUAAAAGAAAAACCCAAACCACCUCAAAAAUCCAUUUCCCAAAUCCGCUCCCAACCUCUCCCUCUCCUCUUUGACGAUCUCUCGUCGGCGAGCUCGUCACGGCGAACUCCUCGCCGGCGAUCUCGUCACCGGCGAGCUCCUCACCGGCGACUCCUCGUCGGCGACAUAGGCAACGAGCUCCUCACCGGUGACUAUGCAACGAGCUCCUCAUCGCUAAUUUCCUUUCCGACGAGCCCUUCAAAACGGAGCUUCUUGUCGCCGAGCUCCUUUCAAGUGAGUCCCUCACCGCCGAUCUCCUCGCCGGUGAGGCCCUUACAACUGAUCUCCUUGCCGGUGAACCCCUCGCUGCCGAUCUCCUUGCCAGUUAACUCCUCGCCGCCGAUCUCCUCGCCGGUGAGCCUCUCGCCUAUUUCUGUAUGUAGAUUAAAUAUGCUUUGUUUGUGAUUCCUUUUCUUGUAUGAACUAUGUAAGUUCAUGAUCUAAUUUAAUAAUCAACGCAUACUUAUGAAAUUAAACAAUAAUCUAAGCCUAGCUUUGAUGUCCACAUAUGAGUACUUGAAAGUUUAAUUUUCUGUUCUUUUUAUUUGUCUUUUACCAGCUACAUGCUAGUAGAUAUUGCGUGUGAUGAGAACUACUGCAUGCUUAGUUUCAGAUCAUCAUUAUCAUGGUUGUUGCUGAUUAAUUCUAUACAUUUAACUCUUAAUUAGUAUUUAUCUUUGCAAUUAAUCACUGAUAAAUUUGAGCAUCUUUUUUUUUAUAUAAAUAGAAUGAUAAUGUUCUGGGUCUAUAAUUAUAUAUUAAUUAUAUAAUUAAUCACUAAUAAAUUAAAAAUGCAUAUAACUUAAACGGAAGAAAUGUGUUCCAACAAAUAUCUAAAAAUUUAGCUCUUGAUAUGUUUUACACUUCUUCUAUUUAUAAUAGGGAUAAAAAAGGACCUUCACAAGGAAAAUGAUUCUUUAUGCCGCAAUGCUGUCCCAGAAGUUCUGCAUUGAGUUGUUUAUUUGGGGGAAAAGUUCGUGCUAAAUGCUAAUAGUUCUUAAAUUAUAAAUCAUAUUUUCGUCUCUUUUCUAUUUUUUAUGAUACUUUUAGCUGGGAAAGCACUUCUUGGCUAAUCUUCCCGUUUAAGUGUUCUUUUGUUCUGUCAACUGUAUUGAGCGUUCACAUGUCAACAACUUAGUUGGUAAAUAAAGCCAAUGAAGGAACUACAAAAUGGAAGACAUCUUGAUUACCUUUUCUUUAUUUAACAUACAAUGUAAUCCAGUUUUGACGACCCACUGUUGUUACUCUUUUCAAUAGUUAAUGCUGAAUAAAGUCCCUAGCCCCAGAAUAAUUAAGAAACUUUUGACCUUGGUAGUCCCUGUGACUCAAUCAAAACCAUGCUUUGAAGGUAUUUCUAAUAGAAUGUUGCCCAUGACUUUGUUAUCCAGAUUAUGAUGUUGUCAUAUCCUUCCCUUUCUCCUUACCUGGCAUGACAUAUCCAUAACUUAUCUGUGUUAGCAAGUCUUGCUUUUUUUUGGUCACCAUAGCAAAUUUUCUUACCAUUUUUAUUUCCAUUGGGAAACCAAUCACUUUGGGUUGUUGGGUUGUUGGGAGCUGGUUUAAUGACAGAUUAGCAAUUGCAUGAAUAGUACAAUUGGCUUUAGAAAAGGUACUCUAAUCUAAAUACUUAAGAAAACAAGAACACUAGUCAUGCUGCAUUAAAAUUAGAUAACAGUAGGCCAAAAUAAAAAUAAAAGCUAUUAGCUUUAGGUAGAAAACUGAAGUAGAAGAAAGCAAAGUUAGCAAAAUUAGCAACAAAAGACAAUAAAAGCUAUUAGCUUGCUACUUAAUGAUCAAAACAGACAAAUGGUGAUUGCUUAUGUUAAAUGUUAACUUGGUUCAUCUUUCUAACAUAAAAAGAGAUUUGAAUGGAUAUAGAAGUAACUGAUUGGUGAACAACUACACAAUGCAUGGAUUUGGAUAAGGUAUAUCAUCAUGAGAUUAUACGGAUACAGCGGCAUGGCAACUCUUCAACAAUAAUGAUUUGAUAUGCAAUAUUAGUUAUACAUUUUUGGGGUAAAUCUGGAUGACUUAUUCUAUUCUUUUGUAAAUAUUUUGGCUUCAGAUCGAUAAGCUGCAAAGUACUUCUCACCAAUGGGAACGAACCCCUGUAUACACUCCAGUUGUGAAAGCAUCGAGUGGCAGGUAAGGAGGCCAUCGAAGUUAAUUAUCUGAUAUACUUUCAAUUCUAGUAGGUUUAAACUUGCCUAUCCUAUCGACGCGCGGUGACUGACCACCAUAGUAAAGCUUUUGCAUUAGUGGAAACAGUGCCAUUGUUCUUUUUCUUUCUUUCUUCUUUUUUUUUUGUGCUUUUAUGUCGGUCUCAUUCUGGUUGGAAUGAUGCAUGGCUAUUUAAAACCCAACUAAGAACUUCAUAAUCGUUUGAGGUUCUACAUUUCAUUCUGUUUAGAUUUUACUUUUUUCUGCGAAAAGGUGGAUGAACUGGACAAGGCAAUUUCAGUCGCUGCCAGAGAUCCAGCUUAUUAUAUGUGGACUUGACGAAGUUGAACUUGGAAAACAGAGAAACUGGACUAGCACUGCUCACAACUAGGUAUUGUAAAAUUAUUUCAUUAUUAAUUUUCAUUGUUCCACAUUGAUAUGCACAAGUUGUAAUGCUAAGACAUAAUAAAGACAACUACUACUGUCUUUUGUCUCCUUUUUCCUUUUUUGGUUAUACUUGAUUUUGGUCAAUUAGCAUGUUCUAAUAUAGUUAGGAAAUACCUAGGUGCGUACUGUGAGGAGAAAUGUUGAAGCUGGAAAGGAGAAGAGCAGUCUAAUCACUGGUUUGCGCCAAGACCUAACGGGUCUUCCAUGUGGGCAUGAUUCUCAAGCAGGAAGAUCUAACCACUAUGGAGCCGAAGACAACGAUGAUUUUUUCUCUUCAGAAUCAGAUCGGCAGCUGCUUCUAAUAAAGUAACCUGUUUUUCAUCUCUCAGUACCUUUUGAUUGGCUGGAAAUUAGUUGAGAAAGAGUUUAUUGAACCAUAUCAAGUCUAGCACUCUGCCUCGUCCCAUAAUUUGUUCUCUUUUUGACAUGUAAGAUAAAAGAAUGGCUUAUAUCAUCAAUUUACCUCGUGUGACUUUAAUUUUAUGAAAAUGAACGUCAAAUCAAUUACAUCAAUGUAAAUAGAAACAGUGCUCUUCAGAUGUCAUUUAAUAAAGAAAAUCUCAAAUUAAAAAUUUGAACAGCAGUCUGUUUGAUCAAGUGCUUUCAUUACAAGGUAAUUUGCUUUUCAUAUUGUGGAAUAUAUUAUCCCAUGCAAUAUAUGCCUUCUGCAUAUUAUAUUUAAACCUUGAAGAUUAAACUGCUGCUAGAUGGUAUAUGAAUUGAUUUUACUAAUUAAGGAAAAAAGGGCAAUUUACAUUCUAAUGUUUCAACAGAUAUUUCAUGAGUAUAUUCAUGCAUACUGCAUAUGUCCUUGAUUGAAAAGAAUAUAUUUGGUUUUAGGGACUCGAGUACUUCAUGGGCUUUAUGACUACUAUUACUUGAAGAUUGACAGCUCACAUUUUAUGAUUGCUUAUUAAAAAGCCAAGCUAACUUGACCUGCAGGCAACAAGAUGAGGAAUUGGAUGAGCUAAGCGCAAGUGUUCAGAGAAUUGGAGGUGUAGGACUUACCAUACAUGAAGAGCUCAUUGGAAAGGUGUAGGACUUACCAUACAUGAAGAGCUCAUUGGAUAGGUAUUAUUAAUAUUAAGUUGCAAAAAUUUGCACCUGUUUGGUGAUAUUAAACUGAUUGUGAAUUAUAAAGUGGCCAGAUUGAACCAGAGAUCCAUAUUAACCAUGUUUGAGUAAGCGUAAUAUACUUCUUUUGAUAUGGUGAUCAUUUUCCCCUUCAGUAAGGAAAAAAAAAAAAGAGUAUGAUUUGGCAGCUAGGUUGGAGCUGUGGAUAAUAGGACAACUUGGAAAACAGUGUCCAGUUUUUUUUUCCUAUCUUAUAUGAGAUUUCCUGGGAUAUUACACAUAUCAAGAGAACAUAAUUAGGAUAAACCCAUUUUCUGUAACAUGCUAAAUUAUUCUUGAGUAAUUUUUCUAAAUUAUUUAUAACUUGCAGAUUAUGAUAUGCUUGGAUGCUCCAAGUCUAAAUGAGAUGUUUUUGAGAUGGAUCAGAGGAAGGUGUUCUAUCUACUAGUAUCAACUGAGGCUUCGAAUGCUUUUUUAUCUUUUAUGACUGACUAAUAGUUUUUAGUUUUUUUUUCUCUAAAUUGAACUUGUGUUGUUAGUUGGCAACUUAAUGGAUUCUUGUUUUAUUUUUUAUUUUUGUUGAUAUUGUUGGAGAAACUAAUAUAUGACAUUAUUUUGAAGUGAUUUAUUAUGUUGGAGGGUUUGAAUGUGUUUUUGCCUAUAAUUUUUGUUAUUUUAUUCAUAUAUAUUUGUACAUGAACAUUUGGUGGCAAAAAAUAACACUACCGAAGGUAAAUAUAAUUUGUCGCGACCAAAUACUAUAUUUAGUGGCGACAAAUUUUUGCCGCCAAAUGUUACAUUUAGUGGCGACAUGUAUUUGACAAAUGAAACACAUUUAGUGGCGGCAUAUAUUUGCCACCAAAUGAAACACAUUUAGUGGCGACAAAUAUUUGCCAUUAAAUGAUAUAUUUAGUGGCGACUAAUAUUUGCCACCUAAAGUUGAAUAUUGGUGGCAAUAGGUAGUUGCCACCAAAUCCUAGAAAUUAGUGGCGACAUUUUGUCGCCACCGAAUGAUACCUUUUCGUGGCGACAACCACAAAAAGUUACAUUUAAAGUGGCAAAAUACAUAUUUCGCCACUGAUUCAUUCGCCGGCGGGAUCUAUUGCGGCAACCUGUGGCGACAAUUUUUGUCGUGAUUAUAGACAUUUGGUGGCAAUAUUUUGUACAUUUGGUGGCGACUUUAGUUGCCACCGAAUGAUAGUUAUCUUGUAGUGUUCGUGGGUCCCGGCGGAGUCUCGGUGCGACUACGGGACUUCCGGCGUAUUACGGCUAUCCAUUUGGAAAACCGAUUCCCGUGAGUUCAUUAGUGGGGCCCUGUGAGUUAGUGUUCUAUGUUAGAGAUUCUAAUCCGGUGGACCUUUUGUAGGUCUGGUUGACGUUCUUUCGCAGGCAGGAGACAGACGCGACAGUUGUACAGGUGGGUACUUCGAUCCGACGGUGUAGGUCACAUCCAAAUAUCUAGUAGUCAUAUGACCACUUUAUAGUGGAGACAUGAUAUUUCACAUUAUAGCCAUACUCGGAACACUUAUAUCGCUACUUAGUACACUUUAAACAUUGUGUAGAACACCCAUAUAUCUAACAGUGCUAACUAAGUAUUAUAAGAAAAGGCUGUAACCAUAACUUUACCAAGGUGCAUCUAUAGUGGUGUAGGCCACACCCAUAUAUCUAGUAGUCAUAUGACCACUUUAUAGUGGUGACAUGAUAUUUCACAUUAAAGCCGUAGACGGAACACUUAUAGCGCUAUUCGGUAUACUUUUACCCUUGAGUGGAACAUCCUUAUAUCUGACAGUGCUAAGUAAGAGGUAUAAGAAAAGUUAAUUAUAAUCAAGUAUAAGUAUUCUAUUUGAAUGUAGGAAAGUGAUUUUUCAUUGUACGUUUUGUUGAAAUAUCUACAUUACUCAAAACCUACUUCUAUGUUAUAAAACAGGAAUAAUAGAUAUAGGUGUGCCAAAAUACAUAUACAGUGGUGAGAAGGCGAAUCCAGGUACCUACUAGUGAUAGCCAACAACGAAACACUGAAAAUGGUGGUUCGGUACAUGUAAAUCUUUAUAGCCAGCAUUAGAACACUUAUACGACACUUCGGUAUACUUAUACAACUAUGACUUACUUUUGCAAUUAUGGCUUGUAAUGGGACAAUUGUAGAAGGGCCCAGUACAUCUGUCGUGUUGAAGGGCACACCCAUACACCUCCCUCGUCUAAAUGUCCACUUCUAUAUGUCCGGCUUUACUUUUGCAAUUAUGGCUUAGAACGGGACAUUUUUAGAGGGGUCUCGUACAGCUGUCAUGUUGAAAAGCACGCCCAUAUACCUGCCACAUCUAUAUACCCAUUUCUAUAUGGUAGACUUUGCUUUAGCAGCUAUAGCUGAAUAUGGAACAGUUAAACUGGUCCCCGGAAUAUCUGUACUGUUAAAAGGAACAACCAUAUACCUGCCACAUCUAUAUGUCCAUUUUUAUAUGAUAGGCUUUGCUUUAGCAUUACGUACUUAAAAUGGAACAGUUAUACUGAUCUCCGAAACAUCUGAAGUGUUAAAUAGAACACCCAUAUAACUGCCAUAUCUAUAUGUCCAUUUCUAUAUGGUAGGCUUUAUUUGUGUAGCUAUAGCUUAAAAUGGAACAGUUAUACAGCUCUCCGGAACAUCUAUAGGGCUAAAGGGCCUACCAAUAUACCUGCCACACCCAUAUGUCCACUUAUAAAUAAGCCUCCUACUUCACAUCCCUCCUCCUUUCGAAUACUAUUGUGCUCAUUCCUCAUCCCUAAUUGUUUUUUGCUCAUUGUUAUAACUAGAUAUCUAUCAUGUCAAUCCCGAACUCCACCCGACCAAGAUUCAACUACUGUUUUAUUCCAUUUUGCAAUAGAUACUUAGAUACUAAUAUUUUGUACGACCGUGCAGCUAAAGUGAAUAUUGUAUCCUCCGACACUGAAGACGAUGGCAUGAUGGAUGGCGUAACUGGUCUACUAGCGGAGCGGUUUGGUGGUGAUCCCCGUGAUUAUGAAAUUGUACAUUGUCCUGACGGCGGCGACUAUGUAGUAUUCUUUCCUACCGGCAAGAUUCGGGAUAAAGCUAUCCGUCGUUCGCCAAUUCAGUCCUACAAACUCACAAUUAGUGCUGUGCCGUGGGAAUACAACCUUGGUGAACGCCGGCAUAGAUUUCGGUAUGAUGUAUGGAUCCGUUUGCAUGGCUUACCACUCCAGUGCGAUAGGUAUGAAGAUUUACAAACUAUUGUUUCAAGUUUUGGAGAAUUUAUAGGUGGAGAUGAGAGAAGCUGGCUUCGUCAAGAUGUAAGGUUCUAUCGGUUGUUGAUCAAAUGUGCUGACCUCCUAAUGAUUCCUGAAUGUAUUACGCUCGUGUUGGGAAAUCGGGAAUGGAAAAUAAAUGUUGAAGUAGAGUCAUGAGAAUAUCACCACAAGACCGGCAGCCCUUAAUGUGCUGCCAAUGUCACCUAACUGUGCGUUUUGCAGUGGUAUAUUUCGCAAGAAAGCAGUCAUAAUUUUGUUAUUUUGAUAACUGGUGUGUACAUGCAGUGACAUUAUGUACACUUAAUGUGUCGUACUAUAUUUAUUAGUAAUAUUUAUACGUAUACGGUGUAUCCCUCUAUAUUUGUAACUUUAUAUUUUCGUCAAUCUAUCAUUGCUCUUGGAGCCAUGGGGUUAUGAUGCGUUAAUUAAAUUCCACAUUUUAUUGUAAUCUCGUGUUACAAGUUAUGCUGUGUACAUCUGUCACGCCCCGCCCCGAAGACGCUACCAAUUUGGCCCGUUUCGGGCGCGGCUAGCGGACCGCCGAACGGACAGAACCUCCCAUGUCCGCCCAAAGCUCACGAAUCAGAUCAUGUAUAAGAAUUUAUCCAUGAAUACUAAACUCAAAAAUGCAUAAUCAACAGGGCACAAACAGUGCCAACAACAGCUAAGAGCAAGUAAUCCACGAGUAGAAACAAGUGAAACAAAGAGAGUACUUUACUAGCUAUUACAAUGAUUUGCAAUCUUUUAUAUUUACUUCAACGUCCAAAAAUACAUAGCUCUCCAACUUCACCACAUGAAUCUCUCAAGUGCAUAGGUGAACUAAAUGCAAAAAGGAAAGCUGCUAUCUACCACGAACUCACUGGUCGGGCGCGAUGCCUUUGCCGCGGUCCUCGCCCGGCAAACCUGUACCUACCACUGAAAUAGAGUGGGGUGAGAACUAUCUUCCACAGUUUCCAGUAGGCUCGGCCGCCGACUCUGCCGAUCUCUCCUUUAGGUCCAAGUGGGCAUAAGAAACAACAAGAUAUAUAUAUAUAUAUAUCAAAACUGUAAAAGCAUAAAGUAAACUAUACUAUUAUGCCCAUAAUCAUGUAUAUGAAUGCAUGGAUCAUAUAAUAAAAGGUGCUAUCAUGCUAUCAAAUCGAUCCAUGUUCGAUAAGUAAUGCUCAAAUAGAAUGUUUAUUUACAUUUUCAUUACAUUUACCCAACCUGUGGCGAACCUUUGGGUUUGCCUACGACUCACAUCUCUAUCCCAUUGGGUAAGGAGCUCCAUGUGCUCACGGACUCGGGAUUGUCUGGGGACCUCCAUGUGGUCCCUAUUGCUCGACACUCCGGAGUACUCGACGACCAUCCUCUCAACGUGAGGAUAUGAAUGGCUAUACCAUUCCGAAAAACAGACUGUGAGCUCGGUCUAUCCUCUCCACGUGAGGACAUGCCCUACGGCUAGGGCCAACAGUUUUCGAAACUUUAUUCCGACCAACAUGCAUAGCUACUUAGCUAUUCUAAAUUCAUUGUUCACAAGGUAUUUUCUAAGGGAUUCCACCUAUCCCUAAGUCCAUUGACUUCUAGUGUCAAAUACACUACAUUAAUGCCACUCAUUCGUUUUCUAACAUUAGGUGCCACUUGAUAUGUUCUUUAACAUCUAGAUGCCAUUCUCUAUGUCAAUACACAAUUCUCGAGUCCAUCUCUUUUUUAGCACUAUAGAAUCCAUGUUCUGACCCAAACCUUACCUAUCCAUUUUCACCAAGUAUUCCACGUACACUAGGUUAUCAUUGAAAAGCAUAAGGAAAUGGUUUUACAUGCGAUUCUAAUAUGCUACAUGCAAAAGAUGAAAGUUACUACAUUUCUAAGACAUAGAAAAGGGCUCGGUUGCUUCGGGAUUACACCCCCCACCUUGUGUUCGCUACUUUUGUCGAGGAGGUCCUAAGGAUGAUCCUCGGCUCUUGCUUCGAUGUCCUCUCGGCCACUUAGGUCGAAAACGAAGCCUUGGCCGCGUUGUUUUGCCUCUAGCUUUUUACCCGCUUGGCGAAUCGAAAAUCCGACUUCGCCCCCGCGUUUCUCUACCUAGCAAUUAGGUUUACAAGGCCUCAAAUGAGAUCAAUCUCAUUCAUUUCCAAAAACACCAUUUUUGGUGCCCUAGGUUUGCACCUAUAGCCAACCACCCAAUCAAACCCUAGAACCUGGGAUUGAUCUAAUUAGAAGCUUGCUAGGGUUUCAUUUGACCCAUUUCUAAAGCCAAAAACUCAAAAACCCUAAGUUUACAAGGCUAGGGUUUAGAGCCUACCUCUUGUGUUAGCUCCAAGGGAAGAGGAGUGGGAGAUGGAGAUGCCCAAAGCCUUCUCUUUGAUCUCCUUCUUCUUCUUCUCCUUCCUUUCUCCCUUCUCUUUUCUCCUCCUUUCUUCUUCUCCUUCCUUUCCCCUUCACGUAUAGAGAGAGAGAGAGAGAGCAAGAGAGUGAGAUAGAGGGAGAGAAGUGAGAGGCUGAGAGAGAGAGAGGGCCCAUAUGCCUCUCUAAUAUAACAAAAUUCAGUUUAGCCCCUCAACUUUUCAUCAAUUACACUGCCCGUCACUGGGCAAUUUCGCCCAGGGAGGACCGGUCCUCCCGACCAGAGACCGGUCCCCGAGGGUCCUCCCUUAGUUUACGCGUACGGGAACCGGUCCCCCACGCCAGGGACCGGUCCCCGAGAGCCUUCUAGGCUGGGUGAGCUACGGGAACCGGUCCCUGAGGCCAAGGACCGGUUGCAUUGGCCUCUGCCGCAACCUCCAGCCACGGGGACCGGUCCUCCCUGCCAGGGACCGGUCUCCGAGAGCAAAAUUUGCUAAGUUUCAGAUUUUUGCAUCUUUGCUCUCGCGGACUUGAUUCCAAAGCACUUUUUGUGCUCCGCUGCUACUCCGGCCUUUCCGGAGUCAACCCACUCGACAAGAAGUCGAUCCUGGAUGAAGUGCAACCCCCGCAUUUCGAGAGUUCACUUCCUUACAACAUCUCUAUUAUUGUAAUGUCAAAACUAUAUAUGUAAUGUGAGUUUUCUUUAGCACAUUGCAGAAAAAAUUCGAAUUAUUUAAGUUUGCCACGGUACAUGUGUAGUGUCCACUUGUGUAGUGCCUGCGCUGCUGUUGGAGUUAUAGCAUAGAAUGGAACAGUUGUAGAGCUCACAGGUACAUCUGUAGUGUUAAUAGGCACAUCCAUAUAACUAUCACUUUUAUAGGGUAGGCUUUGCUUUUGUAGUUAUAGAAUAUAAUGGGACAGUUGUAGAGCUCACAGGUACAUCUGUAGUGUUAAUGGGCACACCCAUAUUGUAACAUAUUAAAAUUUCGAAACGAUAGUCGAACUUUGACUAAAUUAGUUGAAGUGUCGAGAGAAAGCGGUGAACAAGUUCCAUAUAGCAUUCCAAUAACAUUGGGAGGGCUAAAAAUGAAUUUGGGAAGACUUAGAAUGGUUUUAGCAUCGACCGGCGCGAAGUAGAGUCGGAUCGAAGCCAAACUGCAGUCUGGAACGUUGUGUACCGGUACACCAUGAUGUUUGUACCGGUACAGCAAGCGACCCGAACACAGGUUGCUCUCGGGUUUGGGCAACCUGGGUGGUGUACCGGUACGGGACCCCGUGUACUGGUACACACCCUGCGAAAUCGAGAGAGGCUGCUCUCGGGUUUGGCCUCUGCAUGGGUCGUGUACCGGUACGGGAGCCCGUGUAUCAGUACGCAGUUCCUCUGGCAGCAAGGAUUGGCCUGCAGCAGAAUAGAAACUGGGAGGGCCUAAAUGCAAUUGUUGCAACAUGUCAUAACCCUACCCCUUCUCCCCUUCACAGCCAAAGCCCCCAACACCCUCUCUCUCAUUUUCCUCUCUUUCUCUCUCUAGAAAGCUUGGUCUAAGGCAAGGAGAAGGUGGAGGAGAGCUUGGAGAAGGUGGAUUUGGUGGAUUUGGUGAACCUAGGAGCUCUCCAACAAGAAGGAGCUUGCUAGGGCUUGGGCAAAGGUGAGUUCUUUUGCAAAUAGAACUCUAGGGUUUGGUUCUAAGCUUUGGGAUUUAGAGUUUUGAUCCUUUAAUUAACUUAGAAACCCUCUAAUGGCUAUGACACCAUGAAAACAUGGAUUUCUUGUACCCCUCUCUUGGUGGAUCACUAGGGCUCAAAGUAGAUGCCCUAGGGAUGGUUCUAAAAGCUUGGAAACCUUAUUAGAGAACUUCAUAGUAGAUUCUAAGCUAUUCUUUGCUUAGGGUUGAGAUCAAUCUAGGAGAAAACCUAGAAUGACACUAUUAGGGCUCAAAUUUGAAGUUUUUGCCCUAGAAAUUUUCGGGGGCUAAAUGACCUCAUAGAAAUCUAAUUGGGGGUGCUCCCGAAGCGAUGGAAAACUCCGUUUCGCGAAACGAAAAUGCUAAAGUAUAGUUUAUGUACAAAAGGCCUAAUUUGGCUCUCUUUUGGGGUUGUAGGUCGCGGAGCGGCGAUCGGUUGAGCGGAGAAAGUAUCGAGAUCGUAUUCUCAUACCUCACAAGGUAGGGGGUGCACGCCGGAAUCACCAGAUUCCUCAUUAUGUCUAUUUCACCUUUUUGAGCAUAUGGUAGUUUAGUCACUCAUGAAUGUUAGGGUUAAUUUACAUGUGAACUAUGGUUGUUUCAUUAUGUUUUAUCAAAUGUAUUUGAAAGUAGAGAAAGAUGGAACCGUAAUGGACAUGUAUUGAUGAACCCUAGAGAUUGCAUGAUUGUGAGACUUGGACUUGACGAUAAUAAACAAAAGUGGCAUUGACAUUAAAAACGAGAUUGGCCUUGAGAACAUGAAUGUUAAACAUAGGUUUAACCAUAGUGACAUUGUGGUAAGAAUGACUAGAAAGUGACCGGAAAAUAUAGGUAGAAAACCUAUCUCAAAAGUGGCAUCGUGACAAGUGGCUAAGUAUCCUCAAGUUGGGGAUUUGAUCGAUACUCAUGAUAAGUCUUGGCUUGAUGGAGGUCGCUCCUCCUCAAGCGGUGUGUUUCCGGAAAUGUCACCACAGGGAGCGAGGUCCCUGAAGACGGUCCCUCGGGUCGGUAGAGCUUGGAGCCUCCCCGGUUAAAGGGAUUUGGGUUAUGAGUUAUUGGGGUUAACUAUGUUAACCGGUAAGAUUGACUUGGGUUCCGAGCUUUUCCACACUUGGUGGAGGGUCGUGGAAGGUGUCCCGACUUAAGAAGCUCGAAAAAUCCAAGUCUGGAUGGUCCUGAGAGUUUUCACUCUCGGGGACCGGUCCCUGGUAGGUGAGACCGGUCCCCCGUGGUGAUGCAACCGGUCCCCGGCUGAGGAGAUCGGUUCCCGUACGUCGAAUCGGUUGGAAGGUCCUGAGGGACCGGUCCCCGGCUGGAGGGACCGGUUCCCGUACGUUGGUUUUGUGAAAAGGACCUGAGAGACCGGUCCCGGGCUCGGGGAGACCGGUCCCUCUGGGCGAAUUUUGCCCAGUUCGGGCUGAAGCUCUAUUUUGAGUUUUUGAGACGCCUAAGUGGAUUUUGUUGCAUAAGAGGCCUAUAGAGAGCCUUUCUUCUCUUUUUCUCCCUCACUUCUCAUCUCUCUUGCACCUUAGAAAGAGAAGAAGAAGGAGAGGAAGAAGAAGGAGGAGAAGAAGAGGAGAAGGAGAUCAAGUUUAGAGGCUUUGGAGCUUUUCCCUCUCUCUUUGCUCACCAUUGGAGGCUUGGAGCUUGCUAUUGGAAUUUUGUAGUGGAUCAAUCUUCAACUCUAGAAGGUUUUGAGCUUGGUUUGGAGCAUCCUAGAGGUAAGUAGAUGGUUUCCUUCCUCUAGAUCCUAGUUUUGGAGCUUUUGCUUGAUGAAACCCUAGAUUUUGGAUUCUAGGGUUAGUUUUGGGGAUUUUUGAUUUGAGGGCUUUGAGACCCAAUUGAUGGGUUUAGAAUCUUCCUUUAGGUGGGAUUGGAAGGAUUAUUGCUCUUUUUGGAAGCUUGUUUGAGGAUUUCUUUACCUAGGUGAGUUCUUCUCCACCUUAGCCUAGUUGCUUAAUGUUUGAGCUUUUCGAUGUUGGUUUCGUUUGAGUGACACUUGUUCCUACAUCUUUAGGGUGCUAGGAGACUAGUGGACAUCUUCGUUCGGCGAAACGAAGAGUUUGAAAAUUCGGUGGGUUUGGCUUCAUGAAAACGGGGCAAAUGGCCCCUGUGCUUUCUACAUUCGUCGUAAAGUAUUUCUAAGUGCAUUUCCAUGCUAAAUAGAAUUUAUGUUAAUUUUAGAACACUUAAAAUGCAUGCCUUAUGUAUCAUAAAAUUUUCACUCUAUAUAGUAGAGCAAUAGUGUGUUGAUUGCAUGCAUGAGGAUAGUGGUUCUUAUGCGAGAUGGGAACUUGCCUCGCACGAUGAAAAAUGAUGAGAAUUAUGCAUUCAUGAACAUAAAUACCGUGCUUGGACUUAGUGAUCUAAAGUGUCAUAAAGGGGCACUUGGACUAGCAACUAUGAAAAUGCAACAUUGAGACAUAGAGUUAGGCCAUUGUACAUCUGCUAUAUUCCAUGUUAGAGACAUGAUGAUAUAGAGAUAGGCCAUGGUGACAUUCGAUAUAUUCCAUGUUUUGGACAUGAGGACUUGGACUUGAGAUAGAUCAUUGCUUGCUUGCCAUUGUGCUCAUUCGCACAUGCUUGUGAGGGUCGCUCCUUACAAGCCGGCACUCUGGAGAUAGCCAUCGCGAUAUAUGCUCGCUCGUGCGAGAUUGGGCGCCGAAAUGGGAUGCCGUGGGGGAGGUUCAUUCCUAGAGUGGGGAUGUUGACUACCACGGGGCCAUUAGGCACGGCGCAGGCCAGACAGCCUACGGGUGGGUCUUACAUGAUUGAAACUUAGUGACAGAACAUGCUAUGUGAACCUUAAAACUGUUAAGUGACAAGUUGACUUAGACUAGAAUAGUAAAUAUUGACACCUUUACUAUAUGCAUUGAGUACAUCGUGUUGGUUGCAUAUCUAUGCUUAUACAUGUUAUACACAUACAUAUACAUUAAUGUUAUAGUUGCUUUAUUACUUAUGCAAAGCAUGCUAAGUAGGGACAUCAUGCUAGAGUAGCACUCAUGGUUGCGCACUUGUUCUUUAUUACGCUUUUAUUUAUACCUAUAUACUGACCCCUUCUUUGUAGCUUUUGGGCCUUGUGGCGCAGUUCACUGAAGUCAGUAAUUGCCCAUUGGAAACUAUUUUUUUAUAGUUCUCAUGCCUUCUGUUUUGUGGUUUUAUUUCAAAGCCUUCGGCACCGACGGAGGCAUGGGAUCGUGGCAAGGGAGUCGCAUAUCUAGUUAGCUGCGGAGCUUGCUUUUGGGCUCCUAGGUGAUUUACUCUCUUCUUUUGUUUUUGUGAGAGAGAGUUGUUGGUACCAUGUAUAGAUAGACCACCCUUGUAUUCAGUUUAGUACUUGUUAUGGGAUCCUCUUUGUAUUACCUUAUGCUUUUAUUUAGUGGACUUUCGCUUUAUGUUCCUUUCUCUAUUGUAGAAUCUAAUUGUUAUUAUGCUCUGAUACUCCUAGAUGUUUUUCGUUAUUGCUUUAUUUAUCGUUUUAUCAUAGACGCCUUAUAUGUUUUAGACGUAUGGCGGGUCUGUACACAUGCCGGGCGGGCUUCCGCUGGGUCCCGGGGCGUGAUAGAUUAGUUUGGUAUCAGAGUCUAGGGUUGAGUCUUAGUGGACCUAGCAAACCUUAGGCCGGUUGGACUAUAGGAAAUAGGCUCGUGAGAGACGAGAUCUAUUUGACUUGUGAGCGAAAGUAUCAUGAUUGGGUAUCUUUGAUAGCUCUAAAAAGUUAAGAGUUUGAUCGGGGUGUAUGGCUUCUAACUUCGCAGAGGGUUACGUUGGCGGCCGACAACGUAACAUCGGGAGUUAGUAGUGAAGAACACUUCCUUACUUUCGCGUGAUUUGGGGUAUUAUCUUUUGAGCGGGGAUUCGAUAGCGUGAGUUUUCCUAAUUUACGCUUUUCUGAUAUUGUAGUGCGAUGCCGAUUACACGCUCCCAAUCUGCCGGAGCGGACAAUGCGGCAAAUCUGGAGGAGGUCGAGACCUCCGCUACCUCCGGAUCCGGCGUGGUCCGUGAGUUGCGGAGCCAGCUUGCGGCUCUCACUGAUUUGGCACUCAGCAGGCGGAGGCGGCCCGACAGCAGACCGAGGCGGCGCGUCGACAGGAGGCACGGAUGAAGCGUCUGGAUGACUUGUUGUUGCAUCAGGCGGCAGCUUUUAGGGAGACUCAGGCCCCUACACCGCCGGCACCAGUUGUGGACGUCGUGCCGACAGCACUGUCCCCAGCACCUAGCUCUUCACGUGCAGCGCCCGCGACCGCUCCUCAGGAGGAGGCUAUCGCGGUUCCGGAGGCUAUCGCGGCACCACCUGUGCAGAGUCCCCCGAUUGGAGCUGUUUUCCCUACUAUGGUUGAGGGGGCAGAGCGGGACCGACUCAUGGAGCGCCUCAAUGAGUUCAGGAGGUGCAGUCUCCGGAUCUUCGACGGCGAGAAGGUCGACCACUGGAUCGUAGAAAAGUGGUUGAUGCAUAUGGAGAAACUCUUCUGCGACACCUUCGUGGAGGAGAGGGAUAGAGUUUGGCUCGCCACUCACCACCUGGAUGGCGAGGCCUAUCGCUGGCGGUUGGAUCUCCAGGAGAACCCCUGUCACGCCCCGCCCCGAAAACACUACCAAUUUGGCACGUUUCGGGCGCGGCCAGCAGACUGCCGAAGAGACAGAACCUCCCCCGUCCGCCCAAGGCUCACAAAACUGAUCAUGUAUAAGAAUUUACCCAGGAAUACUAAAUUCAUAAUACAUAAUCAACAGGGCACAAACAGUGCCAACAACAGCUAAGAGCAAGUAAUUCACAAGUAGAAACAAGUGAAAUAAAAAGAGUACUUUACUAGCUAUUACAAUAAUUUGCAAUCUUUUACAUUACAUCAUUUACUCGAAUGAAUACAUCACUAUCCAAAAUACAUAGCUCUCCAACCUCACCACAUGAAUCUCUCAAGUACAUAGGUGAACUAAAUGCAAAAAGGAAAGCUACUAUCAACCGCGAACUCACUGGUCGGGCGCGAUGCCUUUGCCGCGGUCCUCACCCGGCAAACUUGUACCUACAACUGAAAUAGAGUGGGGUGAGAACUAUCUUCCAUAGUUCCCAGUGGGCUCGGCCGCCGACUCUGCCGAUCUCUCCACUAGGUCCAAGUGGGCAUAAGCAACAACAAGAUAGAUAUAUAUAUAUAUAUGUAUAUCAAAGCGGUAAAAGCAUAAAGUAAACUAUGCUACUAUGCCCAUGAUCAUGUAUAUGAAUGCAUGCAUCAUAUAAUAAACGGUACUAUCAUGCUAGCAAAUCGAUCCAUGUUCGAUAAGUAAUGCUCAAUAAGAGUGUUUUCUUAUAUUUCCAUUAUAUUAACCCAAUCUAUAUUAACCCAAUCUGUGGCAACACCCUUGGGUUUGCCCACGACUCACAUCACUAUCCCAUUGAGUAGGGAGCUCCAUGUGCUCUCGAACUCGGGAUUGUCUGUGGACCUCCAUGUGGUCCCUAUCGCCCGACACUCCGGAGUACUCGACGACCAUCCUCUCCAUGUGAGGAUAUGAAUGGCUAUACCAUCCCGAAAAACAGACUGUGAGCUCGAUCUAUCAUCUCCACCUGAGGACAUACCCUACAACUAGGGCCAACAAAUUGCGAAACUCUAUUUCGACCAACAUGCAUUGCUACUUAGCUUUACUAAGUUCUUGUUCACGAGUCAUUUACUAGGGAGUUCAUCUAUCCCGAAGUCCAUAGACCUCUAGUGUCAAUUACACUACAUUAAUGCCACUCGUCAUGUUCUUUAAACAUAUAGAUGCCACUCGUCAUGUUCUUUAAACAUAUAGACAUCACUCUCUAUGUCAACACUCAAUUUUCGAGACCAUCUCUCUUUUAGCACUAUAGAAUCUAUGUCCCGACCCAAUCUACACCUAUCCAUUUCACCGAGUAUUCCAUGUACACUAGGUUAUCAUCGAAAGGCAUAAGGAAAUUGUUUUACAUGCAAUUCUAAUAUGCUACAUGCAAGAGAUGAAAUUUUAUAACAUUCUAAGACAUAGAAAAGGGUUCGGUUGCUUCGGAAUGACACCCCCCACUUUUUGUAGUCGAUAAUCAUUGUGGAGGUCCUAAGGAUGAUCCCCGGCACUCGCUUCGAUGUCCUCUCGGCCACUUAGGUCGAAACGAAGCCUCUGUCGCCUUGUUUUGCCUCUAACUUUUUACCCGCUUGGCGAAUCGAAAAUCCGACUUCGCCCCCGCGUUUUGUUACCUAGCAAUUAGGUUUGCAAGGGCUCAAAUGAGAUAAAUCUCACAUUUUGCCAAAAACCCCAUUUUGGAGCCCCAAGUUUGCACUUAUAGCAAACCACCCAAUCAAACCCUAGAACUUGGGAUUGAUCUAGUUAGAAGCUUACUAGGGUUCCAUUUGACCUAUUUCUAAAGCCAAAACCCCAAAAAACCCUAAGUUCACAAAGCAAGGGUUUAGUAGCUUACCUCUUGAGCUACACCAAAGAGAAGAGAGGGAGAGGGAGAUGUCCAAGAGCUCCUCAUUGAUCUCUUUCUUCUCCUUACUUUCCUUCUUCCUCUUGUUCCUUCUCUUUUCCUUCUAGAGAGAGAGAGAGGGAGAAUAUGAGAGGGAGAUAGAGAGGGAAUGAGAGAGUGAGAGAAGGAGAGGGGCCACAAGCUCUCAUAUUGUAACAAUAUCCUCAUAAGCCCCUCUAUUUUUCACUUUUUACACUGCCCAUCACUGGGCAUUUUCGCCCAGAGGGGACCGGUCUCCCCGACCUGGGACCGGUCCCCGAGGGCCCUCCCCUCGGCCUGGGGGCUUUUCGCGUACGGGAACCGGUCUCUCCCUGGGAGACCGGUCCCUCCCCAAGCGACCGGUUCCCGAGAGCAGGAAUUCCAGGACUUAGCCAUUUUUCGGGUUUUCUCACGGCUUUCACCUAUGGGGACCGGUCCCCUCAGCCUGGGACCGGUUGCAUUGCCAACCCCCGCAACACCUGGCUCCGGGGACCGGUCCCCGAGAGCAAAAAUCUGCCCAGUCCAGAUUUUCACAUAUUUGCUCUCGCGGACUCCUUCCAAUGCACUUCUUGGGUUCCAUGCUACUCUGGCCUUCCCGGAGUCAACCCACUCGACAAGUAGUCGAUCCUGGAUGAAGUGCAACCCUCGUAUUUCGAGAAUUCAUCUCCUUACAUCCUCCCCUCCUUAAAAGGAGUUUCGUCCUCGCAACGAAUUAAUUUCUCUAACUUUAAUUUAAACUCUUACCUCACUCCUCAAAUAAGUGAGGGUGAUGCUUCCUCAUCAGGUCCUCGAGUUUUCAAGUGGCUUCGCGAUCGUCGUGAUUGCUCCACCGAACCUUCACAUAGAAAAUUUCUCGAUUCCUUAGCCUUCGCACCUCUUGGGCGAUAAUGCCCACUGGAAACUCUUCAUAGCUCAAAUCUUCUCGAAGUUCCGACGGCUCAUACAGCAUUGUAUGCACGGGGUCAUGAAUAUACUUGCGGAGAUUGGAGACAUAGAACACAUUGUGUACAUCCGCGAGCUUCGGUGGCAAUGCGAGUCGAUAAGCCACCGUGCCAACUCGCUCCAAUAUCUCGUAGGGUCCAAUGUACCGGGACUUAACUUUUCCCGCACUCCAAACCGCUUCACACCCCGCAUUAGCGAAACCUUUAAGAACACGCGGUCGCCUACCGUGAAUUCUAUAUCUCGACGGCGCCUAUCAGCAUAGCUUUUCUAUCUCGACUGCACCGUGAGCAAUCUCUUGCGAGCAAGGCGGACUUUCUCCUCCGCUUCUCGCAGAGCAUCGGGGCCGAACUCUGCACGCUCACCCACAUCGCUCCAGUGUAUAGUGGAUCGACACUUCCGCCCAUAAAGAGCCUCGAACGGUGCCAUCUCCACACUAGCGUGAUAACUGUUGUUGUAGGCGAACUCGGCCAUGGGUAGGUGAUCACACCAACUUCCCUUAUAGUCGAUGACACACGCUCGCUACAUGUCCUCCAGAGUUUGAAUGGUUCUCUCUGUUUGCCCAUCGGUUUGAGGAUGAAAUGUAGUGCUAAAAUUGAGCCGUGUGCCAAGGGCUUCUUGCAGACUCUUCCAAAAGUGUGAAGUGAACCGGGGGUCACGAUCCGACACGAUCGACUUCGGCACCCCGUGCAGUCUCACUAUCUCAUCAAGAUACACCUGCGCCAACUUGUCGCUUGCCCACAUGGUGUGGAUCGGUAGGAAAUGAGCCGACUUAGUUAAUCGGUCCACAAUCACCCAAAUUGCAUCGUGGCCACCAGUUGAGCGAGGCAAGCCGACCACGAAGUCCAUCGAUAUGUCUUCCCAUUUCCAAACGGGAAUUGGUAGGCUUUGAAGCUUUCCUACUGGAAAUCGACGCUUGGCCUUUACUUGUUGGCACGUCAAGCACUUAGCCACAAAGCGUCCGAUAUCACCCUUCAUUCCUGGCCACCAAUAGAGUGCCUUUAACUCAUAAUACAUUUUGGUGCCGCCCGGGUGAUCAGCAUAUGGAGAGCGGUGUGCUUCUUGUAGAAUCAACUCGGUCGCCUUGUUUUGCCUCUAACUUUUUACCCGCUUGGCGAAUCGAAAAUCCGACUUCGCCCCCGCGUUUCGUUACCUAGCAAUUAGGUUUGCAAGGCCUCAAAUGAGAUAAAUCUCAUAUUUUGCCAAAAACCCCAUUUUAGAGCCCUAGGUUUGCACUUAUAGCAAACAACCCAAUCAAACCCUAGAACUUGGGAUUGAUCUAGUUAGAAGCUUACUAGGGUUCCAUUUAACCCAUUUCUAAAGCCAAAACCCCAAAAACCCUAAGUUCACAAAGCUAGGGUUUAGUAGCUUACUUCUUGAGCUACACCAAAGAGAAGAGAAGAGGGAGAGGGAGAUGUCCAAGAGCUUCUCCUUGAUCUCCUUCUUCUUCUCUUUCCUUUCCUUCUUUCUCUUUUCCUUUUUCUUCUUCCUCUUGUUCCUUCUCUUUUCCUUCUAGAGAGAGAGGGGGGAGAAUAUAAGAGGGAGAUAGAGAGGGAAUGAGAGAGUGAGAGGGGGAGGGGCCACAAGCCCUCAUAUUGUAACAAUAUCCCCAUAAGCCCCUCUAUUUUUCACUUUUUACACUGCCCAUCACUUGGCAUUUUCGCCCAGAGGGGACCGGUCUCCCCGACUGGGGACCGGUCUCCCCGACCUGGGACCGGUCCCCCGAGGGCCCUCCCAUCGGCCUGGGGGCUUUUCGAGUACGGGAACCGGUCUCUCCCCGGGAGACCGGUCCCUCCCCAAGAGACCGGCUCCCGAGAGCAGGAAUUCCAGGACUUAGCCAUUUUUCGGGUUUUCUUGCGGCUUUCACCUACGGGGUGUAAGGAAGUGAAUUCUCGAAAUACGAGAGUUAGACUUCGUGAAGAACCGACCAAGGGUCGUGUUGGUGUUCUUUGGAAAGGCCAAAGAUGAUUGAAACACCAAAAGUGUAUUGGAAACGAGUCCGCGAGAGCAAGUAGUGCAAAACUUGCACUGAGGCAAAACUGCUCUCGGGGACCGGUCCCUGGCAGGGAGGGACCGGUCCCAUCAGGCUGGGUUGCGGGGAUCUUUGAAGCAACCGGUCCCUGGCAGAGAGGGACCGGGUCCCGAACGCGAUCCCUGCGUGAGAAAGCCAAAUAGUAUACACCCCGGCGGCACUAAAAUGUACAAGGACCUAAAGAUGCAUUAUUGGUGGCCGGUCAUGAAAAGAGAUAUUGGGGAGUUUGUGGCGCAAUGUCUAACGUGCCAACAAGUCAAAGCGGAGCGCCGAUUUCCGGCGGAAAAGUUGCAAAUUUUAUCAAUACCCGUUUGGAAAUGGGAGGAUAUAGCGAUGGACUUUAUUACCGGUUUGCCUCGAUCACAAGGCGGACACGAUGCAAUAUGGGUGAUUGUGGAUCGAUUGACAAAAUCGGCACACUUUUUGCUGAUACAUACUACGUGAUUGGGAGACAAGCUAGCGCAAGUUUAUCUCGACGAAGUCGUAAGACUCCAUGGGGUUCCGGUGUCGAUUGUGUCAGAUCGAGACCUCAGGUUCACUUCUCAUUUCUGGAGGAGCCUACAAGACGCGCUAGGCACACGGCUCGACUUCAGCACAGCGUUUCAUCCUCAGACUGAUGGACAGUCGGAGCGGACGAUACAGAUUCUUGAGGAUUUACUUCGAGCGUGUGUCCUGGAUUAUAAAGGAAGUUGGAAUGAUUUCUUGUCGAUGGCGGAAUUCGCCUAUAAUAAUAGUUAUCAAGAGAGCAUCGCUCGUUUGAAGCCUUGUAUGGACGGAAGUGUCGUUCUCCUAUCCAUUGGAGCGACGUGGGCGAGAGAGCGGCUCUCGGCCCGGAUGUGAUGCGGGAGGCAGAGGAGAAAGUUCGCCUUGCCCAUCAAUGAUUAGCGACGGCGCAAUCUCGGCAAAAGAGUUAUGCCGACAAGCAAAGAAAGGACUUAGAGUUCGCGGUUGGAGACCGUGUAUUUUGAGAGUGUCGCCGAUGCGCGGAGUGAAGCGCUUUGGGGUCCGCGGGAAGCUAAGUCCCCGAUAUGUCGGACCAUUCGAGAUAUUGGAGCGUGUGGGUGCGGUGGCAUACAAGCUCGCACUACCACCGAGACUCGCGGGAGUUCACAAUGUAUUUCAUGUGUCAAACCUUCGAAAGUAUAUUCGCAACUCGACAUACUGUGGAGCUAUGUGAAGAUAUGUCUUUUGAGGAGUACCCCGUAUGCAUCCUCGACCGAGAAGAACGAAAGCUGCGGAGUCGCAGAAUUUCUUAUGUGAAGUUCAAUGGAGCAACCAUGUAGUGCGAGAAGCCACUUGGGAGCUCGAGGAAGCGAUGCGGCGGGACUAUCCGCAUUUAUUCGAGUCGACAAGUUAAGGUAUGGUUAAUUUCGAAGACGAAAUUAUUUUAAGGGGUGAAGAAUGUAAUAUGCCGAAACUUCGGUAAAUAAAUAUAGAACUUUAGUCAAAAUGACUAAAGUGCGAAAUGGUACACUUCGGAAUGUUCGAAGGUGUUAAAAUAAGUAAAGGUGAGUUGUGGAAGGUUUUCGAGAGCUAAAAAUCAAAAAUCUGCAAACUGCAGUUUUUGAGCUCUCGGGGACCGGUCCCUAGUGGGAGAGACCGGUCCCCGAACACGAAGAAUCUGAGAAACCUGAAAAAUCGGCUAAGUCCCAGAAAGCCAGCUCUCGGGAAUCGGUCCCUGAAGGAGAGACCGGUCCCCGAGAGACCGGUCCCUCAGGGAGAGAUCGGUUGCAUUGCUCGUAGCCAGCAGGAUCAGCCGAAAACCGGCUAAGUCCUGGAAAUCUGACCUUCGGGAACCGGUCCCUGGUCCGAGAGACCGGUCCCCCCAGCCCGAAACUGCCCAGCCUGGGGCAGUUUGAAAUAGGAAAAGUUGAGGGGUUUUAUUGCAUUUUUGCAAUCUAAUGGUUAUGUAUGAGGGGGAAAUUAGGGCUUUUCUCAUUUCACUCCCUCUUACACCCUCUCGUCUCUCUCUCUCUUUAGAGGACAAGGAGGAGAAGAAGAAAAAAGGAAAAAGAAGGAAAAGAAGAAGAAAGAAAGAGAACAAAAAGGAGAAGAAGGUGAAGAAGAAGCUUGGGAAGUGAAGCAUCUUCCUCCUCUUCUUCUCUUGAGCAACAAGGAGCUAGCUUGCAAGGUAAGCUUUGAUUCCUCUCAUGUCUAAGCCCUAGAAAAUGGUUUUAGUAGGAUCAAAUGAGCAAAUGGAAGCUUUCUUUUGCUUCUUAUGAGAUCAAAACUAAGGUUUGGAUUAUAUGAGGUGAAGCUUGAAGUAGAGCUUCCACCUCUCAUGGUGAAACCCUAACUAGGGUUUUGAUUUGUCUAAGAAUGGUUUGUAUGAGGUCUUUAGAGUUAAUUGAAGCUUCUUUUGCUUCCCAAUGAGAUCAAACCCUAGGUUUUAUACAUGUGUGAAGCUAGGGCACCAAAUUUGGGGCUUUUACCCUAGGAUUUUUCGAGGGCAAAUUGAUCUUGUAAAAACUUAAUUGGGGGUGUCCCCGACGCGUGGGGCAACUCCGUUUCGCGAUACGAAAAUGCUAAAGUAUAGCUCAUGUGUAAUGGGCCUAAUUUGGCUCUAUUUUGGGGUUGUAGGUCGCGAAGCGGCGAUUGACUAAGCGUAGAAAGUAUCGGAUUCGCCUUCCUAUACCUAAAAGAGGUGGGUGGUGCUAUCCAACCUCGUUGAACUUCCUUCUAUGCCUAAUGUGUCAUUCAGUUGAGCAUAUGUUAUAUAUUGUUGCAUGCAUUUUAGGGUAAUGAAAUGAUGAUGAUGUGAUAUUGCAUGAUUGUGAGUACAACUUGCUUAAUGAUGGUUGAGAACCUAGAAGAACAUGAAACCCUAUAUGUAUGCAUGAGAGAAAAAUGUGAGCAUCCAAGUGAGAUAAAAGAACAGAGUGACAUAAUGAGACAGAUUGAGUGGCAUUCGAUAAAGUAAAGUAAUGUGACACUUGAGUUAGUGUGGAAUAAAGAAUCAAUGUGAUGUAAAGAAUAAAGUUAAUGUAAAGUUUUAUAUUUUGAGUAAAUGUGAUGUAAGAAAGAAAUGAUGCAAAUGUAACGUAAAGAAUCAAGACUGUUAAUGAUUGUGAGAAAUGGACACUUGUAUGUGAUCGAAAAUGAAUCAUACUACUAGUUGAAUGUUUAGUUUCCUUUCUUUCACUCUUGGCUAAUGCUUACCCUCGUGUAUGCUUAUCGUAUGGUUCCGCAAGUACAUUUCUCUUCUAUUUGAAAUUGUACAGGUGAUGAGCCUUGGGCAGAUAGGGAAAACUUUGUACGUUCGGCGUCUAUUCGACGUGCUCGGGCCGGCCCAAAUAGGAAUCGGUCCCGGGGCGUGACAGGUGAGCUUAUGUCGCGAUGGCUAUCUCCGGAGUGCCGGCUUGUGGAGAGCGACCCUCACAAGCAUGUGCGAAUGAGCACAAUGGUAAGCAAGCGUAAAAGUCCGUCCCAAGUCCAAAGUUAUCAUGUCUAAAAUAUGGAAUAAAGUCAAUGUCUCAAUGGCCUAUCACUAUGUCAUCAUGUCUAAAAUAUGGUAUAAAAGCUAGUGAUCUCAUGGCUUAUUUCUAUGUCAUUAUGUUGCAGUUUAACCGUUUACUAGGUUGAGUGCCCCUUUAUGGCACUUUUGUCCAAUACGUCUAACAUGAAUUUUAAGUCCAAGAGCAUGUUACAUAAGUCAUUUUCUUUGCAAGAAAUAUGAUAUCUAAUCCCCGUAUUAGGAUACUAUGCAUGGUUAUGCCAACAACACAUAUAUCUCUCUCUACUAUAUAGAGGUAAUUUUUCAUGAUGCAUAACAUAAGGACUUUAAGCAUUCUAAAAUUCACAUAAUAUCUAGCAUGAAUAUGCACGCAUUUCUAUUUUACGAUAAGUAAAAAUAACAUAGGAGGAAUUUCUCCCAUAUUCCAUGAAGUCAAUCCCACCAAACUCUUCGCAACCCUUCGUUUGUGCCGACGAAGGUGUCUAGGACUCUCCUAACACCCUAAGAGAGUCAAAAGAAUCGAAGGAACACUACAAAGGUCGAUCAUUAACCAUUUCAAGAAAACGGUGAAAACUCACCUAUAAUGGUGAAAACCUUUCUCAAUUCCAAACGGGAGCAAGGACCCUUCAAAACCAACCUAAUGGAAGGUUCAAAGUCAAUCAAUAGAGUUCCAAAAGCCUCUAAUCGAAAAUCUCCAAAAUAAACCCUAAUUUCCAUUUCUAGGGUUUCAUCUAUAAAUAUCCAACAAAUCAUGAAUCUAAAGAAAGAAUCAUGUAACUAAUCUCUAUAGAUGCUCCCAACCAAGCUUGGAAGGCACUAAGGUUGAAGAUUGAUCCUCUAUCAAGCUCCAAACACCAAGCCAAAGCUUUUCCCAUGGUGGAAAUAGCACCAAGAAGCAUGGGGGAGCAAAAAGAAGAGAUUAAACUUCAAAAGUCCAAACCAAAAUGGAAGAAAAUGAAAAAGAAGGGAAGGAGGAGCUUCUUUACCUUCUGCUCUGUUGUUCCAAGCUCAGGGAGCAGCCAAAGGCAUGGGUGGCUUUAUAGGGAAACUACAAUUGCAAAAACACCCUUCAGGAAAAUGCAGUCUGCGAAUUGCAAUAUGUACCGAUACACGGGAAAGUGUACCGAUACAACACCAGCCAGACAGCAAACCCGAGCCUCGGGUUGGCAGAAAAUGGCCUUCUGUACCGGUACAACUCAAUAUUGUACCGGUAAACUUUUCCAUUCCAGUACAGACUCGUAUCUGUACCGGUACACUACACUGCAAAUGUAAAUCCGAGAGCAGCCCAACUUUUCCCUCUUGUGGGACUUUGGCACUGAAUUAAAACCUCGAUUCUCGAAAUGCGAGCCAUAGGUUGGAACACUGUCAACGACCCUCCAGAAUAACUGAAAAAACUCGAAACACAACUCAAAUACUCGAACCUCACAAUUUGCAAAGGUCCAGUGUGUUACAACUAACUUGCCGAAAACCUCUCGACAACCCCUCAAAAGUUGUGGAUAGCUCCAAUUGCUAUUCCCACACUCGAACUUCGCAACUUACCAAAGUGCAGUGUACUACACUAAUUCCAUACAUUAUUUCACGAAAAUUGACUAAGUUCUUCUUACAUCGCAUUUAUCCAAUAUUCAUCAAGAAAAACUUCAUCAAUAUUCUUUGGUUUAACUAAAGAUACAUAGCAUGCAAAUGCACAUUGUAAUUGUCUCCUCGUUUUUACACCCUCAAGGGAAUCUCCAAUAAUAUUUGACAAGGGAUGGUCUUUGGAGACUCUCGAACAUUGAGAAUUGGAAAACGUGCUAGGGACUUCAUGCGGUAUAGAUAGGUCAUGCAAUGCAGUGGGUUCAUGAGAUGCAGUUUCAUUUACAACAGAAAAUUCAUCAUGAACAGGUAAAGCAAAUGGAGAAUCAUCAUCAUCAUCAUUGUUCAACACAGGAGAAGAUUUAUCCAUAGAAGAGACAACGGAAGAAGUUUCAUCUACAUUUACAUUUAUUGAUUCUAUCACCAUCUUGGUGCGCAAAUUGUGUAAGAUAUUGAAACUCGAUGAAAUUGGCUAACUUUGGCCAAAUGAACCAAAGUGAGCAAUCCAGCGGUUUGGACAUGUUCUAUUUUGUAUUCCAACAAGUUUGGAAGAGCAAAAGUGAGUUCCAAAGGUAUUGGAAUGGUUUUGACAUCGAUCGGCGCGAAGUAGAGCGGAAUCGAAGUCAAAAAUGACAUUCUGGAUGUUUUGUACCGGUACAAGCCCGAUGGUUGUACCGGUACAACUAGCGAAGCUCUCGGGUUGGAGCUGCCAGGCCUUGUACCGGUACAAGGGGCCUUGUACCGGUACAAGGGGCAUGUACCGCUGCGAAACCGAGAGAACCAGCUCUCGGGUUUGGCUGUCACCCAGGCCUUGUACUGGUACAAGAGCCCGUGUACCGGUACAAGGGACCCCGAACAGUAGGACUGUUUCAGAAAAUAAAAAAGUUGAGGGGCUUUUUGGGUUUUGUUACAUUAGAGGGCUUACAUACCUCUCUCACAGUCUCUCUCUCUCUCACCCUUAGCCUCUCUCUCUUCCUCUCACACCUCUCUCUCUCUAACCGAAAGAAGAAGGAGAAGAAGAAAAGAAGGAGAGAAAGAAAGAGAAGAGAAGAAAGAAAGAAGGAGAGGAAAAGAAAGAAGAAGAAGAAGGGGAUCAAGAAGAAGAAGAAGGUUAUCUUCUUCCUCCUCUCCCUCAACCUAGCUUGGAGCUUGGAACAGAGGUUAGCUCCAAAACUCUAUAAUAGUAGAUCUCUUUAGAUAGGGUUUUAUGGUUUGGAUUUGGUUCGAAUGGAACCUAUUGGAGCUAGUUAGAUGGUUCAAGCUCGAAUUUGAAGCUUGAACCAUGGAAUUUCUCAUUGUUGCAAACCUAGGGCACGAAAAUGGGUUUUUAGCGAAUCUAGGGUUUUGAUCUAUUUUGAGUGGUUAGAAUCCUAAUUGCUAUGUCUCUAAACGCGUAGGCGAAGACGGUUCGUCGAUCCGUCGAACGAGCGCGGAGAUAUCGCCGAAUCGAGUGCUCUAGGGUUGGGUUUGGCCCAACGAGUUGAAGCGGCGACAAAGAAUAGCGAAAGAACGCGUUUCCUAGUUUCGGCGCUACCAAAGGUGGGUGGUGACCAUCCCGAAGCCACUGGGCCCCCUUCUAUGUCUUAGUACAUGUUGACUCUUACAUCUUGUAUUAUUGCAUUAUAGGAUGAUUGUGCAUUGCCUUUCCUUAUGUUUUCCUUCAUGAUAUCGUAGGAUGUAUUGGAUACUUGAUAUAGUGGAUUAAUAAGAAUUGGGUCGAGAUUUUGUGAAAAGAUGGGCUCAAUGGUUGGUUAAAUAGUAAACAAAGAACGAGUGGCAUCUAGUCGUUAGUAAACAAAGAACGAGUGGCAUCUAGUCGUUAGUAAACAAAGAAUGAGUGGCAUCUAGUUGAUAGUAAACAAGAAAACAAAUGACAUGUGUGAACCUUAGUGUAUAUGACACCAUUGACUCUAUGAUGAUAGUAACCCUAGACAUUAAGGUGUCCUCGAGCCGAGAGGAUUGGAUCAUGCUCACGGUCUGUUUUUAACUUGUGAUGGUCGCUCCACACAAGUAGUGCGCUCCGGAGUCGGUCACGUGGGAUAGCCUAUUUGGGGUCUCGGCAGACGGUUUCGGAUUCGUAGUUGAGUUGAUUCUCCCUACGCGUCGAGAUGGCUAGUGAGUAGUAGGCGAACCCUCAGGUAAGCCAAGAGAUUUGAUGAACAAGUAAAUAGCUUUACUUUUUGGACAUGAUGACAGGUUAGUUGCUCACCAUUUCAUUGUAAAUGCAUUCAUAUAUUUAUGAUUCAGGCAUAGUAGUGUAGAUUUACUAUUCUGUCAUUGCUUAUAGCUUUCCUUAUCUAUCUAUCUAUCUAUCGUUGGUUAUCUACUUGUGCCCACUUAGACCUCGUGGGGAGACCGGCGGAGUCGGCGGCCGAACCCACUGGGAACUAAGGAAGUUAGUUCUCACCUCUAUUUUACUUCAGGGCCGAGCGCGAGUUCACACGGCGAGGAUCGCGGGAAGGGCCUGGCGCCCUAGUUGCAUUAGUUACUUUUCUUUUGCAUUAGAGACACCCGAUGUACUUGAGAGUAGAUGAUGUAUAGGGUGUGAGGUGCUAUUUUGGGAAAUGUAUGUAUUAUGUUUCUAUUUUGAAGUUUAAAUGUAAUUGAAAGGUAAAUGAGAUGUAAUUUUGAGACGAAUGAAUGUAAUAGAUAGAUGUUCUCUUUUUACUGUUACUUGUAUGCUUCAUACUUGUAUCUUGCUCUUAUAUUUUUAGCACUGGUUGUGCUCUCGCUAUUGUAGUUGAUUGUGUAUGUAAUCAAGUUGUUUUUCGUUGGCACUUGUUGUACACAAUCUAGUUGUUUAGCCUUGGGCGGACAUGGGAGGUGCUGUCCGUUCGGUGUCUGUUCGACGUGCCCGAACUGGACCAAAUUGGUACCGGUCUCGGGGCGUGACAAAUUGUAUACUCGAUAAACUCGACUGGAAGUAGAAUACCCUAAAAAUAUCCUUUAGUCACUUCGUGAGUCAAAUUUACCAAAGUUUUCACGAUCCCUAAGGAUGUAACAACGACUCCCGAAGACACGAAAGUGUUUAAUGUUUGGUUUUCUACUAUACCACAAUUCAUACGGAGUGUUCAAGGUACCCGGGCAUAAAUAUACUCUAUUAAUAACGUAGACGGUCAUGUUAACUACUUCAGCCCAGAAGUGCUGUCACGCUUCAAACCAGGUCCUAUUUAGCCGAUUCGGAUACGUCGAACAGAUGCCGAAUGGACAGCAUCACUCCUAUCCGCCCAAGGCUCAACAAUAAGUACAAAUAAAAUGUAAAAUUUGCAUAUGCGGAAGCAUACAUAAUGGCUUGCACGAGAGCAAGCAAUAGUCAAAGUGAAAGUACUAACUAAUCAACAUACAAGUAAUAUGAUUAUCUUUAAAUCAUAUACAUGCAUUCAACUUAAAUAAUAUUCCUUUACAUUCUUUGCAUCUUUUCUUUUAGACAUCACAUAAUCACCAAAAUGAACAUAAAGUAUUUUCUCCAAAGGAUAAGCUUUUACAUUAAACCAUAAACUCUUUUACAACGUUCAUGUUCCUUCAUAUAAACAUCUAUAAUCAUCAAAAUACAAAAGAUGAUGUAUAAGAGUAUGCAACUAAACCAAAAUGUGAAACCGACUCGGGUGGUCUCUAGCUAUGGCGCGAUACCUUUACCGCGGUCAUCCGCUGGCUCACUCGGUCCCAGCUCUGUGGAAAUAGUGGGAUGAGAACUACAACAAAAUUUUCAGUAGGUUCGGCUGCCGACCUCACCGACUUUCUCACUAGGUCUAAAUCAAGUAUAGUAGAAGAAAGAAUAGAUAGUAACCAACUAACAAAUGCAGCUAAUAUGCCUGAAUAAUAUAUAGUCAAAUAUACGCUUAAUGAAAUGCUCAUGAUGAAUGCAAGUUUGCUUUACACUGUUCAAUCUUGUGGCUAACCCUUCGGGCCCUGAGCUUCCUCUCGCCGGUUUCCAUAACUCACCACCUCAAAUCCCAAAUAUCGGGCCCUGAGCUUCCUCCUGACGGGACCGUCUUCUGGGGAUUUCCCUUUGUAGUGAUGACAAAUCCGGAGCGCAUCGCUCAAGGGGGAGCGACCUCCCUUAAGCCAAAACUAUAGGCGAGUAUGAUCAAUCCUUAACUUUAAGGAUUUCAACUCUUAUGUGACCCUUAACUUUAAGAUUUGUAUGUCACAAUGUCACUAUUUCUCUUUAUUUGUAUUCUUUAACAUACACAAGUGUCAUAUACACUACCUUCUAAUGCCACACACACUAAGUGUUCAACUCUAGCAUUCAAUCUCGUGAUGCCACACUCUAAGUGUUCGUUAACUCUUUUCUCAUGCAUUCUUGUCAUAUACUAAUGCCACUCGAUUCAUGUCAUAAUGGCAUUUUGAUUGUUUACCUCAUCUAGGUCUCUAUCACUUUUCAUGCAUACAUAGGGUUUAACAUGUUUUCAAUAGCCAAUAAUGUCUCAAAUCCAUCUUAUAUCCAAAGCAUGCAAUUAUACACAUUCUACUCACCAUACAAUGCAUGAACAAAGUAUACAUACAUAUGCUAAAAAAAUGCCACUUUAGACAUAAAAGGAAAUUCAUCGAUUUCGGAUAGCACCACCCAUCUUAGUUGUAGGGAUGCUACGGUUCAAUUCUUGAAACUUUUGGGCUCCUAAUCCGCGUGCUGCGGCGAUCUGUACCAAAACGAAGCCAAAUUAGGUUUUUUUUCCAAAUAGCUUCGCAUAGACUCUUCAUUUCACCGAACCGAGUCUUCCAACGCGUCGGAAAUACCUCUUAUUAGGUUUCUAUAAGGUAAAUUUACCUUAAAACAACCUAGGGCAAAAGCCCCAAAUUUGGUGCCCUAACCUUGCCAUUUGCUCAAUCCUAGGUUUUGAUCUCUAGAACAAGCAAAAGAAAGCUUGUCUAACAUCUAGAAACUCUUCUAGAACCAUCUAAACCAAUUCUAGGGCAUAUAAAACAAAUCCUAGAAAUCUAUCAUGAGAGCACGUGAAGAAAACUAGAGUUUUCAUGUGUUCUUAGCCUUUACUAGGUUUCCAUACUUAUUAGAAGAUCAAAACCUAGCUUCCUAUGGUACAAAAUCAAACCCUAGACUCAAUCUUUCGUAAAACCUCACCUUAGCCACAAGCUCACCCAAGUCCACCUUGUUGGAGAGCUUCAAAGCCUUCAAAACCCACCAAGUCUCCACCAAAAUUCACCUCCUAGCUUCUCUCCUGCCUUUGGAGAAAGGUUCCUAGAGGGAGAAAGGGAGAAAUGAGAGGGAGAGGGUAUAUGCUGCUGUGGACCAGGUGGGAGGGUGCUUGGGGUCUUUUAUAAGGUGCUACAAUUGCACCUAGGCCCCACUCUUUCUUAUAUUUACAGCAGUUUUUAUUUUGCUGCCAGGUCCAUUGUGUACCGAUACAGGCCUAUGUGUCACCGGUAACACGAUCGCGUAGAGGGAAACCCGAGAGCAUCUGUUCGGAUUUUGCCAAAGUGUACUGGUACACACCAGGUGUAACGCCCCGGGACGGGCGGAGUCCCUCCUGGUAGCAUGCCCAGACCCGCCAUAUGCCUGCACAUAUAAGGCGUCUACAACAACAGCGAUAAAUAAACAAGAGAAAAUAAAUAUUUAGAGAUAUCAGAGCAUGUGUACAUCCCGUAUCUAUCAACAAGUAGAAUCAAAGGAAACUAAACCACUAAGAUAAAAGCAAAGUAAAACAUCUCAGCUCUAAACAAAGCUCAAGAUACAUAACAGAGUGGCCUCUACAAAAAGGUACAAAUCUCUCAUUCCUCUCCAAAAUAAAACCAAAAGAGAGGUAGACCACCUAUCGACCAAUCCCUUGCUAGCUAGCUCGAGACGAUUCCUUUCCCGCGAUCCCGACCCUCUCCCGGGGUGGAAGGCUUUGAAAGAAAACAUAAAACAGGGGGCGUGAGAACUAUAAUUUAUAGUUUCUAGUGGGCAACUACUGACCCAACUUGGGGAAAGCAUAGCCACAAUUACCACAUUAAUGAUAGGUUUUCUACCUAUUGUCUAUAUCUCUUUUUAAUUAUUUCUUGUGUCACAAUGUCACAAUGUCAAGAGGUUAAACUUUUGUUGAAUCAUUCACUAGUCCAAGCUCUCCAAGCUCCUCUCCUCCAAGUUCUCCAAGCUCCAAGCUAGGGUUUCUAGAGAGAAAGAGGGAAAAUGAGAGAAGAGAGGAGUGGAAUGGCUGUGAAGAAGAGGGAUUAGCCAUAUUAUUUGUUGUAAUAAUUGCAGCUAGGUCCCUCAACUUGUUUUCUCUCAAACUGCCCAGACUGGGCAUUUUUCGCAUUCCGGGACCGGUCUCCCCGACCAGGGACCGGUUCCCGUAAGCCUUCCCGCAGGUUACGCAGAGAGGGACCGGUCUCUCCCUCAGGGACCGGUCUCCCUACCAAGGACCGGUUCCCGUAGGGUGACUCUUCGGGACUUAGCCGAUUUUCGGCUCCCUCGGCUGCUGCGCAACGGGGGACCGGUCUCCCGAGGACCGGUUCCAUCACCAGAGACCGGUUGCCUUAGGGCCUCCUGUGAGGCUGCGCGUGCGGGGACCGGUCUCUCCUUCAGGGACCGGUCCCCGAGAGCUCAAAUUCUGGGACUUAGCCAGAUUUUCACAUUUGCUCUCUCGGGUCCCUUCUAAUUUCAUUUAUGGACUCUAAUGCACUUUUUGUCCACUCUAACUCAUUUAUCUUCGUGUUCCGCUCAUUUUGACGGAACUCGACACGUUUUACGAGGAAUGUGGGGGUGUGACAUUCCCCACCUCUUAAAUUCAGUUUCGUCCUCGAAACUACUUAUCUAGGAGUCGAGGUUCAUACCUCACGCCAGCUCCUCGAAGAGGUGAGGGUAACGCUCCUUCAUCGCGUCCUCGAGCUCCCAAGUCUCUUCCCGGUCGCUGUGUUCGCUCCAAUGAAUUUUAACAUACGGGAUCUCCCGGCUUCGGAGUUUUCUUACUUCUCGGUCUACGAUGUAUGCCGGGAACUCCUCAUAAGUCAUGUCCUCUUGAAGUUCAGUCGGUACAUACGAGAGGAUGUGAUCCGGGUCGUGAAUAUACUUGCGGAGUGUGGACACGUGGAACACGUCAUGUACUCCCGCAAGCCUCGGUAAUAGAGCCAACUUGUAUGCCACUGCACCGAUCCGCUCCAAAAUCUCAUAGGGUCCGAUAUAGCGGGGGCUUAAUUUCCCGCGAACACCGAACCGUUUAACUCCUCGCAUCGGCGAUACCCUUAAGAAUACGCGGUCCCCAACCUCUCAAUAUCCUUUCGUCGUUGAUCGGCAUAGUUUUUGUGUCUCGAUUGCGCCGUUGCCAACCUUUGUCGGGCGAGGCGAACUUUUUCCUCCGCCUCUCUAACCACAUCGGGGCUAAGAGCAACUCUCUCGCCCACGUCGCUCCAAUGGAUCGGCGAGCGACACUUCCUACUAUAGAGGGCCUCGAACGGCGCCAUCGCAAUACUUCCUUGAUAACUAUUGUUGUAUGCGAAUUCCGCCAUCGGCAAAUGGUCGUGCCAUCCGCCCUUGUAGUCGAGUACACACGCUCGAAGUAUAUCCUCAAGUAUUUGAAUCGUCCUCUCCGAUUGCCCGUCACUUUGAGGAUGAAAUGCCGUACUAAAAUCGAGCCGUGUGCCCAACGCGUCUUGCAAGCUCCUCCAAAAGUGAGAUGUGAACCUAGGAUCCCGAUCCGAUACAAUAGAGGCCGGAACCCCAUAUAGUCUCACCACCUCGUUGAUAUACACUUGAGCGAGUUUGUCCCCCGACCAAGUAGUUUGGAUCGGCAAAAAGUGUGCCGAUUUUGUCAACCGGUCCACCACUACCCAAAUGGCAUCAUAUCCGCCUUGAGAUCUAGGCAAACCCGUCACAAAAUUCAUUGCUAUAUUUUCCCAUUUCCAGACGGGUAUCGGUAGACUUUGCAAUUUUUCCGCCGGGAAUCGACGUUCUGCCUUUACUUGUUGGCACGUGAGACAUUGCGCCACAAAUUCUCCUAUGUCCCUUUUCAUGCCCGGCCAGCAAUAGUGUAAUUUCAAAUCUUGAUACAUUUUGGUGCCGCCCGGGUGAAUACUAUAGGGAGAUUGGUGUGCUUCUCGCAUAAUUGCCCGCCUAAGAUCAUCGUCCUUGGGCACGCACCAACGAUCCCGAAACCGUAGUGCACCGUUGGUCCCUAUGCCAAAAUCAUCGGCACUACCGCUCUCUACUUUGCUCCGUACCUUUUGGAGAAAUGUGUCGGAAUUUUGCAAUUCUUUAAUCUUCUCCAAUACGGUUGGUUGCACUAUCAAUGUAGCAAGUGUAGCCGGCAGACCCGGUGCCACAACCUCCAAUCCAAACCGCUGCAUCUCUUUUUGCAAAGCUAGUUGAGGUGUAAUUGCCGUCGCUAAAUUCUCCGCCGACUUUCUACUUAGAGCAUCGGCGACGACAUUUGCUUUCCCGUGGUGGUAGAGAAUAGUAAGGUCGUAGUCUUUGAGCAACUCUAACCACCGCCGCUGUCGCAAAUUCAACUCCUUCUGGGUGAACAAGUAUUUGAGGCUCUUAUGAUCGGUGUAGAUCUCACAAUGCUCACCAUACAAGUAAUGCCUCCAAAGUUUUAGGGUGAAGACGACCGCCGCUAACUCAAGAUCGUGGGUCGGGUAGUUUUUCUCAUAAUUCUUCAGCUGGCGCGAAGCAUAAGCUAUAACUCGGCCAUUUUGCAUUAAAACACACCCGAGACCAAUGUGUGAAGCAUCACUGUAUACUACAUAACUUUCGCCCGGCGUCGGCAAGGCAAGUACCGGGGUCGAAGUUAACUUUUCCUUGAGCUCCUCAAAGCUCCGCUCACAUUCGGGGUUCCAAACAUACUUCACCCCUUUGUGCGUAAGGUGAGUUAGUGGAGUGGUUAUCCUAGCAAACCCCUCCACGAACCGCCGAUAGUAGCCCGCAAGUCCCAAAAAGCUACGAAUCUCCGAUACACUUGUCGGGCGAGGCCAGUCCUUAAUUGCCUCUACUUUCUUUGGGUCCACCGAGAUGCCACUACCGGAUAUAACAUGACCCAAGAAAGUAACCUCCGAAAGUCAAAACUCGCAUUUCUUGAGUUUUGCAUAAAGCUUUUCUUUCCGGAGUAUGUCCAAUACGAGUCUUAGAUGCUCCUUGUGUUCUUCCUUAGUCCGAGAAUAUACCAAUACGCCGUCAAUGAAAACCACGACGCACCGGUCCAAUAGCGGACGAAAGACUCGAUUCAUUAAGUCCAUAAAAGCCGCCGGCGCAUUUGUAAGCCCGAACGGCAUAACUGUGAAUUCAUAGUGGCCAUACCGCGUGCGGUACGCCGUUUUGUGCACAUCAUUGGGCCGUAUCUUCAAUUGAUGAUACUCCGACUGAAGAUCAAUUUUAGAAUAUACCCUUGACCCUUGCAACUGAUCAAAUAGGUCAUCAAUUCUUGGCAGUGGGUACUUGUUCUUGAUCGUCACUUUGUUCAACUCGCGAUAAUCAACGCAAAGUCGAAGUGUGCCGUCCUUCUUCUUCACGAAUAGCACCGGAGCUCCCCACGGAGACACGCUCGGCCUCACAAAGCCUUUAUCGAGCAAGUCUUGCAAUUGGGCUUUUAAUUCCUUCAACUCCACCGGUGCCAUUCUAUAAGGAGCCUUCGAAAUUGGCGCCGCCCCGGGAACUAAGUCAAUGACGAACUCUACUUCCCGGUCUGGUGGCAAUCCCGGUAGCUCCGUCGGAAACACAUCCGGAUACUCACAUACCACCCGAAUGUUCCCCAAAUCCGGGUGCUCCUCUUGGGCAUCAACGAUGGUCGCCAAAUAGGCUUUGCAACCACCCUUUAUCAUCUUUCGCGCCCUGACUGACGAGAUAGUCGCCGCGAAGCGCGCACCCUUACAUGCCCGAUAUACUAACUCCUCUUGAUUUGGCGCGCGGAAUGUGAUCACCUUACUAUCACAAUCGAUGACCGCGUAAUACUUGGAGAGCCAAUUAAUCCCUAAGAUCACAUCGAAGCCCCACAUUUGCUUUAACACCAAUAGGUCGAUCGGCAUGAUCCAAUCACCUAUUUGCACCGGACAUGCUAAACACUCGUCGUGUACAUGAAAUGAAUGUCCCGGUGUAUUCACCGUCCAAUAGUCCUCAUUAUGCGUGACCUCUAUAUCAUGAGCUAGUGCAAAUGCUAUCGACAUGUAUGAAUGCGAUGCUCCUGUGUCAAAUAAUGUCCUAGCUCUGGUGCCUCUGAUAAGAGUAAUACCUGCCACCACGUCAUCGGGAACUGUGAUCGGCUGCUCCUCCACCUGAGUGGCAAAAACCCGCCCACUAGGUGCUCGAGAAGCCUCCGGCUGUCGAAGAGCCGACUGGCGUCCAGCAGAUACCGCGGCUAGCAGUCCCGCAAGCUGUCCUGGUGUGUACUGAACUGAGGCUGAGGACGGAGCAGGGGAUGCGCCGCCCGGGCACUCCCGACGCAUGUGCCUCGGUUGGCCGCAUCGAAAGCAACGCCCCUCCCGCUGUGGGCAAGCAUCAACUCGAUGGUCCGCGCCGCAAAUCACACAUGGGUAGGUGGUACGGCUCUGAGUCUGACUCCUACCACCCCGCCACUAUGAUCGCUGAGGUCGCGGGGGUCGCUUAGAACUCGAUUGACCCGCCGACCCACCAGCCGGUCGCUUCUUGGCCUUCUCCCUAUCCUUCUCUCGCUUAUAUGCCUCGCGCUCGUCUCGCGCAAUGGCGUUGCCGCUCUCGACCCAUAGUGCACGGUCGAGUACCUCCUCAUAGGUCUUGAGCCGGAAUGCAUGAACAGUCUUGAAGAUCUCCGGCCGCAACCCAUGCUCAAACACCUCCGCUCGGUCUCUAUCGCCGUGGACUAAAUCCGACACACAAUUGAUCAUGUGCGUGAACUCCCGCUCGUACUCCCGCACCGACCGAUUGCCUUGCUUUAGCUUGCGAAAGUUCUCUUUGAUCUUCCGCCGAUCGCUAUCGGGGAAGUACUCCAACAGUAGCAUCUCCCGAAAUGUCUCCCAAGUGACGGAAGCAGUGUCCAACGAGCGAUUCUUCCUUGCUUGAUCCCACCACAUCCUCGCCGACCCCUCAAAGCAAUGGGCCGCAAGGCGAACUUUAUCCUUCUCGAGGGUGUAGAUAUCCUUGAACAAUGCCUCCAUCGCGGACAGCCAUGUCUCCACUGUCCACGGAUCCUUGACAUCACCAUCGAAUGUCGGAGGGUUGAACCUUUUAAAGGUCGUCAAAGCCGCCAAUGAUCGUUCCUUCUCGGCCCCAAGCUCACUGGGUAUAGGAGCCGAUGAACCCGAUGCCGCCGGAGGAACAGCCGUCACUGGCGCUGCCGCCAUCGCAGGGGGUGGUGCUACGGGUGCAACAGGUGUGGGCGGAUCUCUCGGCAUAGAUGUCGCCGCCGCCGUCUGUCGCGCCAUCAUCUCGUGGAGCUUUCCGAUCUGCUCCCCCUGCUGCCGCAUAGCCCCGGCCAACGCCGCUACUUGGGCUCGCAGCUCGCGCACGUCGUCCGACCCCGACUGCCCGGGCUCCUCCCGAGGCUCCGCCGGUGUGGACCUCGUAACUCUCCUUGGUGGUGCCAUCGCGUCCUGAAACGCCAUGCACACACAUUAGUUCUCGAAACACGUGACUCUUACACGUUCCAAAUAACUACCCAAUUAAGCGAAAGCAUUAAGCAUAAUUAUUUUCAACUCUUGGUGUUAUGUGGUCGGCCGCCCCACAAGAUCCCUUAAGUAGAAAACAACUAAGCAUUUAAAUUCAUCUCUAAUUCCUUUUAGAGAAGUACUACUAUUAACCCAAUCACUUAGCUUCCGCAUUGUCGAAGUCCACGUUAAACGUUUCCUAGGUCCUUAAAGUCUCCAAGUCCUAGGGUCCCUAAGUCAUUCAUAGACUUUUGCUUUCAACUUCGCUCUGAUACCACUAUAUCUGUCACGCCCCAAGCCCCGCCAAUUUGGUCGGGUUCGGGUCACGUCAACAGACGCCGAACGAAUAGAGCCUCCUCUGUCCGCCCAAGGCUCUAACAACAUGUAUGAUAAGGCAAUCAACAAAAGAAUUGAUAUAAAAUACAAGGCUUGCACGAGGGCAAGCAACAACGGAAGCGAAAGCUCUAACUAGAAAGUAUACAUCAUACAUAAUACUUGAUUACAUUUGAACCAAAUACAAGUAAAUGAACUGUUACAUUCUAUCAUUCAUUCAAUUCUUUUUACAUUAGCCAUCCACCAAAUUACAUGAUUGUUUACAUCUUUAAAACUCUAAAUCAACAAAAUAAAGUUGAUACAUGUAGAACAAAAGGGGAAUAACUACAAAAUAAAAAAAGUCCCGGUGGCCGCUAUCUACGGCACUAUACCCUUGCCUCGGUCCUCCGCCGCCCCGCUUGUGCUAGGACCUGUAGGGUUAGUGGUAAUGAGAACUUGAACAUAGUUCCCAGUGGGUUCGGCAACCGACCUCGUCGACUUACCCACUAGGUCUAUCCAGGCAUAAGUAUACAAAGGAAAGAAAGAUAACCAAUGCUAAUGAAGCUAAUACUAUGCCUGCCAGAAAGAUGUCAGUGGAUAGAUAUAUAAUCAAUGCGAUGAUAGUAAUGCAUGCAUGCUCAAUUCACAAAGUACUUUGGCCUUUAUACCCAAUCUCACCGGUUAACCACGUUAACCACAAGUAACUCACAACCAAAUCCCUUAAUAACGGGGGACUCGAACCUCCCUGGGGAUCGUCUGCUGGGGGUUGUUACCAUACCCAGUGGUGAUCGACUCUGGAGCGCACCGCUUGAGGGGGUGCUACCUCCCUCCAAGCAUAAGACUUAUCGUGAGUGUCGAUCCAAUUCCCAACUUGGGGAAAGCAUAGCCACAAUUACCACAUUAAUGAUAGGUUUUCUACCUAGUGUCCAUAUCUCUUUUUAAUUAUUUCUUGUGUCACAAUGUCACAAUGUCAAGAGGUUAAACUUUUGUUGAAUCAUUCACUAGUCCAAUGCCAGUCCAUGUCUCUAUUGUUCAUAUCACCCUUGUUUACUAUUGUCAUGAUCCAUAAUACACAUUCACACAUGUCAUAGGAUCUCUACAUACAUGUCUACUAUGGUUCAUAUUCAAUCACAACAAUCAACUAUAUUAGAAACAUAAUAUUGAAAUCAACCAUCAAUCACAUGUAAUCUACCCUAAUAUGCAUGAAUAGAGUAUGAACAAGUAUGCUCAACAAAAGGAAAAAUAGACAUAAUGGGGAAUCCGAUGAUUCCGGCAUGCACCCCCCACCUUUUGAAGUAGAAGAUGAGGUUCGAGAAGUUUCCCGCGCUUUUCGACCGCCAAAUCCACUACCUAUAGUCAUAUAGUGCCAAUUAGGCCCUAUGUACACUAACCAUUUUUAAACAUUUUCGUAUACUAUAACGGAGUUGUCCCAUGCGUUUAGGACACCCCCAAUUAGGUUUCUACGGGUUCAAUUCAUCCCCGAAAAAUCCUAGGGCAAAAGCCCUAAUUUUGAGCCCUAACCAAACCCUAAAGGGUUUGCUCUUGGAUUGAUCUCUUUGCUAAGUUAAAAAUAGUUUAGAAACACCUAAGAAGCAUUCUAAUACCAUCACAAAGCUAUUCUACUCAUCCCUAGGGCAUCCACUUGGUGCCCUAGUAAUCCACUAUGAGAGGGCUCCAAGGAAUCCAUGGUUUCAUGGUGUUCAUGGUGCUAGCUUACCUCUAAAGCCUCUAAAGAGACCAAAAACUUCAAAACCCAAGGUAAAAUCCUAACCCUAGAGGAGUCCUCACAAAAACUUACCUCUAGUCCCAAGCUCCACCAAGAUCUUCUUGUUGGAGAGCUUGUAGAAGCACCAAGGUCCACCAAAAUUCACCAAAAGCUCUUCUCCUCCAAGUUCUCCAAGCUCCAAGCUAGGGUUUCUAGAGAGAGAAAGAGGGAAAAUGAGAGAGGAGAUGAGUGGAAUGGCUGUGAAGGAGAGGCAUUAGCCAUAUUAUGUGUUGUAACAAUUGCAGCUAGGCCCCUCAACUUGUUUUCUCUCAAACUGCCCAGACUGGGCAUUUUUCGCAUUCGGGGACUGGUCUCCCCGACCAGGGACCGGUUCCCGUAAGCCUUCCCGCAGGUUACGCAGAGAGGGACCGGUCUCUCCCUCAGGGACCGGUCUCCCAGGGACCGGUCUCCCUACCAAGGACCGGUUCCCGUAGGGUGACUCUUCGGGACUUAGCCAAUUUUUCGGCUCCCUCGGCUGCUGCGCAACGGGGGACCGGUCUCCCCAUCAGGGACCGGUCUCCCGAGGACCGGUUCCAUCACCAGGGACCGGUUGCCUCAGGGCCUCCUGUGAGGCUGUGCGUGCGGGGACCGGUCUCUCCUUCAGGGACCGGUCCCCGAGAGCUCAAAUUCUGGGACUUAGCCAGAUUUUCACAUUUGCUCUCUCGGGUCCCUUCUAACUUCAUUUAUGGACUCUAAUACACUUAGUGUCCACUCUAACUCAUUUAUCUUCGCGUUCCGCUCAUUUUGACGAAACUCGACACGUUUUACGAGGAACGUGGGGGUGUGACAUUAUUAAUGACAAGUUAAUUUUGUCACUAAAUAUUACUUAUUUGUCACCAAAUAAUAUUUACGAAAUUGUUGAACAUUAAAAAUAGUAAUCUUAGGUGACAACAUAUGCCGUCACUAAUAGUUAGUGACAUCAUUAUUCGUCACUAAAUAUUGCAUUUAUGACGAUGAUUAUUCACUACACACUAAUAUUUAGUGAUAAUAAAAUGUGUCACAGAAUAUUGCAUUUAUAACGAUAAUAUUCAUCACCAACAUAUUGUCACUAAUAUUUAGUGACAACAAAACCAUUAUUUAUGAUACAGUUCCAAACAACCAACUGAUAUUUAUUAUAAAAACAAAUCGACGAGAUUUUUAAGUUCUAAUAAUAAAAAGGCAUUAAUAUUCUCACAUUCGUCAUACAAAAUACCUCCCAAUAUCUCCAAUUUUUUAAUUACAUAACAAAGAGUUUUCAAAUUCAAACUAAUGAUUCAAUCUAAAAUAAGUACAUUUGAUUAUAUGGUCCACAUCCAAAAUAAAGGAUUAUCGAAUGCUAACACUAACACUGCGUAAAAAUUGCACCACUCAUCCUUACCUGCAAUGAAUCAAAAAUAAAUAUAAUUAGAAAAAUUAAAAUCUAAAAGAAAGAUAAAAUAAAAAAAUAUUGAUGUUUUAAGGAUCAGUAUGAUCCAAGUGGGGCUACAUUCUUUUUCUCAAUGUAUGCUCUUUCCUCAUCUUCUAAUAAUUUCUAAUUUAAUUUAACAAAAUAAAGCUAAAAACUAACUGAAAAAUAAAGCUAGAAAUAGAUGUCUAGAAUGGCAAAUGAUAGAUAGAUCAAGAAAUGCUGCAGAGUUUGCAGUCAAACUCAAAGGUUAAACGAUGAAGACCAGUUUUUCUAGCCUACGAAAUAGCAAAGCAAUCCUGUAAAUACUCGAUCUCCUCUUUAAUGUUAAUUUGUUGGAGUAUGACAAACUCUCGUUUAAGCCCAGAUGCGGACAUCAGGGCAUGUUCAGAUAACCCAGCCUAGAACCAGCAGAAGCAACUCAGAAGGUUGAUUGAUGAACUGCUGUUCAUCAGACGUAUUCUAGAGUUAACUCACAAUUAUAUUCUCUGUUAAUUUAAAGAAGAGCAAAAAAUUUGUACAGUGGCAUACUAUUACCAAGAACUCUUGAUAUUUUAUGGAAGAGCUAAAAGAUAAUUGAUUAUGGUAGCAAAAAAUGGAAAAACUAAUGCAGAAAUAAGUUUACCUAGCACCAAAAGCUGAUCAAACUCAUAACCUGGCUUCAGCAGGGGCUUUAUCAAAUUGACCUGCCCUGUAAAGUGGUCAAAGGAUACACUUGAUUCAAAACACGGAUUAGCAAUUGAGUACCCUGCUGAUCUGUUAGGUGGUAAUCAAAUAUCGUCCCUGUCAAGUAACCGUUCACAUUAACAAUAACAUGCUGGUUUCAGCCUAAAGUUUUUCAUUUUUAUCAAGUAGGACUCGAUUAAUUUUAGUAUCCAGAUUUGACACUUAGAUAAGAUUUCUCUUCCUAUCAGGUAUUUCUGGCACUCAGCAGAAUACAUAGCAUCCAAGUAACUUAGCUAGUAGUUGAAUUGCUAGCUAAAACCACAGUUAUGAGAUGCCACAGAACAAGCCCUUCUCGGAUGAGAAAAUCCUCUAAUAACACAGUUGGCUGGUCUCCUUCUCAAUCCUCCCAGGAGCAAUCUAUGAAAUUAAACAACAAUUCUGUGUGUCCUAAUUUGAACAAGUGCUAAAAUUUCCCUCUUGGUUUGUCUUUCUCUAUUUCAUUUGAGUUUGAGAAUGACCCUUGCCAUUAUUGGACCUUUCUACCUAACUAGUUGACGCAGUCGUAAUUGCAAAAAGAGCUAAAUUAGAGAUCAAUCAACUGUUUUACCUAACUUAACUAGGUGAUGUAGUCCAGAACCAAGUUAAAGACCAACUAAACCGUCGUCCCACAUAACUUAAGCUUAUUAUUGAUCAACCAAGGAUAAGAGCGAAAAUGAGUUUCUAAUACAAAUUUCAGAAUUGAACUACUUUAACUCAAAAUGCAACGAACUAAACUAAAAGUUCUUAGUUUCUACUAUUUUAUAGGAACCCGAGAUAUAAUCGCAAACAGAGAAUAGAAUUGGGCAAAAACAAAAGAUUAAAACAUAUUAUAAGAACUUGGUCCAAUGGAUUAUCUUACCAAACUAAAAGGUCCACCCACUUGCUGUCAUUUAACAAAAUGUCAUUUGUAGCAGAUAGCAAUUCUCAGGAGCUCAUGCUCAAUAUAUUUUAUGAAAAAAGAAAUGAAGAUCUUAAACUAAAUGUUGGCAGGUCUCAAAUUAGGAUGUUCUCAAACUUAAACAUACCCAUAUAAGAAGGUUGUCAAAAAUAACAAAAACUCUUCAAGAUCUAAGUAGCAAGAUCUAAAUAGCACAAGAAUUGUACCAGCUAGAUACCUGGAAAAAGACAGGUGGCUGAAGGGAACAAAAUAUAACACCAUAUGCAACUUCAACAAUGUGAUUACUUUCAAAUAAUGAGAGUAGACAUAACUUGAGGUUACUGCUGAAGGUCGCAUUAGUCAAAGAAAGUUCAAAUUCAAGACCUUAUAGCAUGGAUAUAUAAUCAUUAGAGUUUAGGCCACGAUCGUCCUUGGCAAGCACGUGUCCAUUGUGAUAAUUAGUGGCAACUUAUUAAAAAAGAUAACAAACAGAUUAGUCUAACUAAAAAUCAUGGAUCAGAAUCAGCAAUUAGUUAAAGAAGGAUCUAAUCCGAUUUAAAAAAUGUAAGAUGUUAGCUAGCUUGAAAUGAGAAGCGAGGGCAUAGAGUUGACAAAAUUCAACUUUUAGCUAAACAUAUCUGUAGGUAAUUAGUGCAUGUCAAAAUCAACAGACAACAUAAUUGAUGAAUACAAAAUUGCAGCCCUAAGGUAUCCUGUAUAUGUAGUAAGAAAAGAAGGAAAAACAUUAGACCAACACAAUUUUAACUCUAGACCACAUGCUAUUUAAUCAACUCAUAUAUAUAUUUCCAUCAUGAGAAAGAAAUAAUUUACAGGAAAUCAUGAUACACGACAUUUAUUUACAAGCACCUUAGCUACACUUCACAGGAUGGUGAGCGCUGGAAAAUCAUUUAACAAGCACAAGUAUUAAGUCUUAUUAAGUUACUAUUAGUUGGUAAAUUAGAACCCAGGACUUUCCUUAAACUUACAAUGGGUACAUGAAGUCAUCACCUUCUAUGAUAGUAAAGUCAUCAUGGAGUCUUGAUUUUGCUUCAUCUGGCAUGCUCGAAUCAGCCUACAAAUUAGGAAACAAUAAAAGAGAUUGUUGAGUAGCUCACAAAAUUUAAAUAUGAAGAACCUCCUAUUUUUUUGGCCUUUUUUUUUCUACUUGUAUGAUCUCUUCAAUGAAUGGCAACAUGAAAAAUUAGCUACUAUAAGUGAAGAUAGACACAAUCAAACUUCAUCCUUGAGCAAAUAAUAAUUACAUCUCAAGCAAAUUAGUAUAUAUAACUAUUUGCCUCAAGUCCGGCAGGUUUGGCGCCGUGUCGAGAACCCUGCACAUACCGCAUAGCGUUCAGCUGAAAAUUCGGACCCUCAUCCAAUUGCAUCAUCCAAGAUCAUCAAUACAGAAGUAAUUAGUGUUUGUAGGAUUGGAAGUUUGAGCGGUGUGCACUGUGCGAGUUGCUACGUUUGGCCAAGUGAAUGCUAUUUUCGUUUUCUUCAAGUUCUUUACGGCGUUUUCGUCUCAAGUUCUCUAAAAUUGAAGUACUUUUGAGUUCAUCGUCGGCUUGUCUACAACGAGCCUUAGCCGGGUAUCAUUGUAAUGGACUGUAUGAAUCCUGUUUCAGCUUAUGCAAAAUUUCGAUGCCCUGCCUUUCUUGUUUCGUUUCUUUUUACAUUCAAAUAUGUUACUACUAUGUUUUUGUUUUCUUUUCACAGACAACAAAAGGAAAAGGAAAAGGGAAAAAAAUUGAAAAAAAAAACCAUAAACAGAGUUUCCAAACAAAUCAAGCAAAAGUAAAUUAAAGAAGAAAGCAAAACAACACUUCUACGACAAUAACUUUAGCAGGUCAGCUAGAGUUACCUCUCAUUGUUACUGUAGAGUUCCUUGUUAAUUCAAACCUUGCUGCAAGAAUCCUUCAGAAUCUUCUCUAAAAGAUAGUUCAUAGAACCCCACAGUGGCACACUCCUGUACAGAAACAAGUUAUUAUCCUCCGAGUUCUCCUAUCAGCAAAUUGGUGACUACAUACCAUAUCGCUAUCAAGUGCACUGAAUCAAAGGUCACGAGAAUGCAAUUCAAAGGAAGCUUAAAUAAAGCAUGCACGAAUUGGAUUUUUGGCAGCAUCCGUUAAGCAUGUAUUUUGAGCUCAAGUUUAAAAAUAUACAUGAAUUUGCGCUUGCUCCGUGCAACAUCAUUAAAUAACAUUCAAAAUUGACAACACAAUAAAGAAGGAAAUUAUUGGCAUUGAGAUCUGCAAGGCAUGAUUAGCUGCAAUCAAGAUCGAACCGCUAAUGAUGCUAUAGAACAAUGGCAUUGAUUAAACACUAAGGAUUUGUUGAUAUAAUCUGGUGGCAUAUAUAUUUCUGCAAUCAUCAGUGUUAAGGUAUGAAUAAUCUCCUUUAGUAUCUAUAACUAUUUGCCUUUCUCUUGAACAACAAGAUUAACAAUAUCUUCUUGACUGAGUUUUAAAACUGUUCUUACACCAAUGUUGUCGCAGUUUCUGAAUUAGUUUAUUUGAACUUAUAUAUUGGUGAUUUGAUAUAUGUGAAGAUUAUUCAUGUUUUACUGAUGUAACAGAAAUUACAUCAAUGGUUUGAAUUAAUUAGUCUAUAGAAAUACAGUGUUACCGGUUACACCAGGGUGUUACCGGUAACACGAUCAUUUUUCUCAAAUCCGAGAGCUACCAUCUCUCGGUUUAGGCAUUGGUACCAGUAUAAUCUUGAUGUUGUACCGGUACAAAAUGCUCAAACUGUAGUUUAGCACUUGUUCGACUUCCCUUUUGCACCGAGCAAUGCUAAAACCCUUCUAACUCUUUUGAAACUCAUUUUUAACCCUUCUAACACCUUUGGAAUGUCAAAUGGAACAUGUCCAACUAUCUCUUUCAGGCGCUUUAGUCAAUUUGGCUAAAGUCCGGAUUACCCUACCGAGGUUUCGGUAUAUUACAUUCUCCAUCCCUCAAAAUUAGUUUCGUCCUCGAAACUGACUCCAUUAAAAUCUAGAUUCAUACCUCACUCCAGAUUUUUGAAAAGAUGGGGAUAAUGUUCCCGCAUUGCGCUCUCGAGCUCCCAAAUAGCUUCCCGAUCAUCGUGGUUGCACCAACAGACUUUAACAUACGGAAUCUCACAGUUCCGUAGUUUCAUUACUUCUCGAUCGAUGAUGUACGUCGGGAACUCUUCAUAAGUCAUAUCCUUUUGAAUCUCAGACAGUUCAAACGAGAGAAUAUGCUCGGGAUCGUGAACAUACUUGCGGAGAUUCGACAAAUGAAACACAUCGUGCACUCCCGCAAGCCUCGGUGGUAAUGCUAACUUGUACGCCACUGCUCCAACACGUUCCAAUAUUUCCAACUGGCCAACAUACCGGGGACUUAGUUUCCCACAAACUCCAAAUCGUUUUAUUCCUCGCAUUGGCGAUACUUUUUAGAAUACGUGGUCUCCAAGCGCAAACUUUAUAUCUGUAACACACUAGACCUGUGCAAAUUGCGAGAUUCGAGUGUUUGAUUAGGGUUCCGAGCUUUUCCACACUUGGUGGAGGGUCGUAGAUUGUAUUUCGACCUAAAAGUUCGAAUUCUGGAUUUUUGGCUAAGUCCCGAGAGGUUUACUCUCGGGGACCGGUCCCUGGUAGGAAAGAUCAGUCCCCCCGGGUUGAGGUUGCCGCAGACUAUGAGGCAACCGGUCCACUGGCCAGGGAGACCGGUUCUCGAAAGCUCGUUUUGCGGGAGGGUCCUAAGGGACCGGUCCCGGCUGGGAAAGACCGGUCCCUCUGGGCGAAAAUUGCCUAGUUCGGGCUGAUGCAUUGGUUGAGUUGUUGAGGGGGCUUAGUGGAUUUUGUUACAUGAGAGGGCUUUUAGGCCAUUUCCUCUCUCUCUCUUUCCCUCACUUCUCACUCUCUCACACACUCUUGAUAGAGAAGAAGAAGGAGAAGAAGGAGAAGGAGAAAAAGGAGAAGAAGGAGAAGGAGAAGAAAAAGAGCAAGCUUAGAGGACUUGGAGCAUCUUUCUCUCCCUCUCUUCUUCCCAUUGGUGCUUGAAGGCUUGGACUUGGAGCUUGGUAGAGAGGAGAUCAUCACUCUUGGAGCUUGGAUUGGAGCUUCUAAGAAGGUUAGUUGCUCAUUUCUCUCCUCUAAACCUAGUUUUGUUGGUUAUUGGGAGAUAAAACCUUAGAAUGGGAAAUCUAGAGUUUACUUAGGGCUUUUUGAUUUGGAGUUUUUAGAGCUAAUCUAAUUGGAUUAGAACCUUGGUUUAGGUUGCUUUGGAAGGGAUUUAGCUUACAUUUUAGCUUUGGAGAGGGAUUGCUACACUAGGUGAGUGUUUAGCCCUCUAUGCCUAGAUGGUUAAUGUUUGAGCUUUUCGAUGUUCGUUUCGAUUGUGUAACUCUCUUUUCUAUACCUUUAGGGUGCUAGGAGAGUGGUGGACCACUUCGUUCGGCGAAACGAAGAGUUUCGUUUUUCGGUGGGUUUGACUUCAUGAAAACAGGGCAAAAUGGCCCCUAUGCUUUCUAUACUUGUCGUAACGUCUUUUUGAAUGCAAAUCCAUGCUAGAUAGGAUUUAUGUGAAUUUAGAACACUUAAAAUGCAUGUGCUAUGUGUAAGAUAAAUUUCACUCUAUAUAGUAGAGUAUUCUGGAAAAUCUUCAUGCAUGUGAGAAGUGUUCGAGAUAACAAUGGGAAUCAUGUCUCUUAUGUUAAUUAACUCAUACUUGUGUAAUUGUAAACACUACACUAUGAUUGGACUUAGUGGACAAAGUGUCAUAAAGGGGCACUUGACUUAGUAGACUAUAAAGUUAUUAUAUUGAAACAUAGUGAUAGGCCAUUGACAUCUAUUACUUUUCAUGUUUUAGACAUGAUGACAUAGAGAUAGGCCUUUGAGACAUUCGAUAUAUUCCAUAUUUUUAGACAUGAGGACUUGGUACUUGAGACGGAUCUUACGCUACUUGCCAUUGUGCUAAUUCACACAUGCUUGUGACGGUCGCUCCCUACAAGCCGGCACUCCGAAGAUAGCCAUCGCAAUACAUAUUCGCCGUGCGGGAUUGGGUGCCGAAGUGGAUUGCCGUGGGCUAGGCUCAUUCCUAGAGUGGGGAUGUUGACUACCAUGGGGCCAUUAGGCUCGGCAUCGGCCAGACAGCCUACGGGUAGGUCUUGAGGCCAGAUUGCCUUCGGGCGGGUCUUACGAGAUUUAACUUUAAGAAGUUAACAUGCCAUGUGGACAUUGACUAGAAUAGUAAACAAUGACAUCUUUACCAUUUAGCUUAUGGACAUCAUACUAGUGAUGCUUUGGUAUAUUCAUGCUAGUGUAGCCUUUAUUACUUGAGCAAAAUCAUGCUAAGUAGAGAUAUCUUGUGGUAGCAAGUAUUCAUGUUUAUUUACUCAUUGUACAUAUCGCUCUUGCUUAUACUUAUUUACUAACCCUUUUUUGUAGCUUUUGGGCCUAGUGGCGCAUUUCACUGAAGUCAGUAAUUGCCCACUGGAAACUAUUAUUUAAUAAUUCUCACGCCCUCUGUUUUAUGAUUUUAUUUCAGAGCCUUCGGCACUGACGGAGGCACGGGAUCGCGGCAAGGGAGUCGCGUAGCUAGCUAGCGGAGAGCUCGUUUUGCUCUUAGGUGGUUGCUUUUUCUUAUGUUAUGAUAGUGAGAGAGAGGUUUUGUACCACAUUUAGAGACCACCUAUGUACCUUGUUUUGCUUUUGUAUUUGGGAUUCCUAUUGUACUACUUUAUGUUUUUACAUAGUGGAUUUAGCUUUAUGUUCUUUUCCCUUAUUGUAGCUUUUAGAUAUACUUUGCUCUGAUGCUUCUAGAUGUUCUCUUUUUAUUAUCUUAUUUAUCGUUUCAUUUUAGAUGCCUUAUAUGUUUUAGACAUAUGGCGGGUCUGGGCACGUACCGGGCGGGCUUCCGUUCGGUCUCGGGGCGUAACAGAUUAGUUUGGUAUCAGAGCCUAGGGUUGAGUCUUCGUGGAUCUAGCAAACCUUAGGCCUGUUGGACUAUAAAAAAUAGGCUCGUGAGAGACGAGAUCUAUGUGACUUGUGAGCGAAAGUAUUAUGAUUGGGUACCUUGAUAACUCUAGAAAGUUAGAGUUGAAUCGAAGUGUAUGGCACCUAACUUCACGAAGGGUUACGUUGGCGGCCGACAAAGUAACAUCGGGAGUUAGUAGUGAAGCACACUUCCUUACUUUCGCAUGAUUUGGGGUAUUACCUUCUUGAGCGGGGAUUCGAUAGCGUGAGUUUAGUAACUUACGCUUUUAUGAUGCUGUAGUGACGAUGCCUAUUACACGCUUCCAAUCUACCGGAGUGGAUAAUGCGGUGAACUUGGAGGAGGUCGAGACCUCCGCUACCUCCGGAUCCGGCAAGGUCCGUGAGUUGAGGAGCCAGCUUGCGGCUCUCACCGACUUAGUGACUCAGCAGGCGGAGGUGGCCCGACAGCAGACGGAGGCGGCGCGCCGACAGGAGGCGCGAAUGAAGCGCCUGUACGAUCUUCUUCUGCAGCAGGCGACAGCUUCCAGGAAGACCAAGCCCCUACACCACCAGCACCAGUUGUGGACGUUGCACCGAGAGCGCCGUCCCCCGCGCCCAGUUUUUCGCGUGCGGCGCCCGUGGCCGCGCCUCAGGAGGAGGUGAUCACGGCGCCACCUGUUUCGAGACCCUCGAUUGAAGUUGUAUUCCCUACUAUGGUCGAGGGGGCAGAGCGGGACCGACUCAUGGAGCGCCUCAACGAGUUCAGGAGAUGUGGUCCCCAGAUCUUCAAUGGCGAGAAGGUCGACUAAUAGAUCGUGGAAAAGUGGUUGAUGCAUAUAGAGAAGCUCUUCCUCGACACCUUCAUGGAGGAGAGAGAUCGAGUUUGGCUCCCCACAUACCACCUAGAUGGUGAGGCCUACCGCUGGUAGUUGGAUCUUCAGGAGAACCCCAGCACGGAUUUGGAGGCUAUUUCGUGGAAGAAUUUCAAGGAGCUUCUGUUGGCGCACUACUUCCCGACCAGUGUCAAGAGGAAGAUGGAGCAGGACUUACGUAACUUGUGCCAAGGAGACCGGACUAUAGCCGAGUACGAGCGGGAGUUUUCUCGGCUUCUACACUGCGUGCCUUUCGUCGUGCGGGAUGACGAGAACAAGGCCCGCAUUUUCGAGCGAGGGUUGCGACCGUCGAUUUUCCGGUUUGUGCAAUCCUCUAGCCCCUAAACCUACCUGGAGGUGGUGGAUUACGCGCUCAUUGUGAACAGCGGCACGGCGGAUGUCCAGGAGUGGCGAGAGGCUAUGGACAAAGGUAAGGCCAAGAGGCCUGCGGCUGAGGGUGCGAGCCAGACGCACUCUAGGAGGCUGCCGAAGUGUCAUGCCCCGGGACCCAGCAGAAGCCAGCCCAGCACGUGCCCAGACCCGCCAUAUAUCUAAAACAUAUAAGACGUCUACAACAAAGCGAUAAAAGAAAUAUCGAAGCAAUAAAUAAAGCAACAAAAGGAGAAUAUCUAGAAGUAUCAGAGCAAAGUAUAUCUAGAUUCUAUAAUAAAUGAAAUGAACAAAAGGCCAAAUCCACUAAAUAAAACCAUAAAGUAAUACAGGAGAUAUCCCAAAAAUAAGUGCUAAACUUAUUACAUGGGUGGUUGCUAUACAUGGUACAAAAAUCUCUCUCUCUCUACUACACAAAGAAAAGAGUAAACCACCUAAGCAAAAGAAACGCUCCUCGCUAGCUAGCUAAGCGAUCCCCUUGCCACGAUCCCGUGCCUCCGCCGGUGCCGAAGGCUCUGAAAUAAAACCAUAAAACGGAGGGCGUGAGAACUAUUAAAUAAUAGUUCCUAAUGGGCAAUUACUGACUUCAAUGAAAUGCGCCACUAGGCCCAAAAGCUACAAAAGGGGGGGUCAGUAAACAAGUAUAAACAAGAACGAUAUGUACAACGAGGAAAUAAACAUAAUUACUUGCUAUUACAAGAUAUCUCUACUUAGCAUGAUUUUGCUCAAGUAAUAAAAGGCUACACUAGCAUAAAUGUACCAAAGCAUCACUAGUAUGAUGUCCAUAAGCUAAAUAGUAACGAUGUCAUUGUUUACUAUUCUAGGCAAUGUCCACAUGGCAUAUUAACUACUUAAAGUUAAAUUUCGUGAGACCCGCCCGAAGGCUGUCUGGCCUGAAGACCCACCUGUAGGCUGUCUCGCCUGAAGACCCACCCGUAGGCUGUCUGGCCGGUGCCGAGCCUAAUGACCCCGUGGUAGUAAACAUCCCCACUCUAGGAAUGAGCCUAGCCCACGGCAAUCCACUUCGGCGCCCAAUCCCGCACGGCGAAUAUGUAUCGCGAUGGCUAUCUCCGGAGUGCCGGCUUGUAGGGAGCGACCCUCACAAGCAUGUGCGAAUGAGCACAAAGGCAAGUAAAAUAGGAUCCGUUUCAAGUACCAAGUCCUCAUGUAUAAAACAUGGAAUAUAUCACGUGUCUCAAUGACCUAUCUCUAUGUCAUCAUGUCUCUAACAUGGAAUAUAGCAGAUGUUCAAUGGCCUAUCGCUAUGUCUCUAUGUUGCAGUUUCACAGUUUACUAUGUCAAGUGCCUCUUUAUGACAUUUUUAUCCACUAAAUCCAAACAUGAGUUUAUGGUUCACAAAUACAUGAUUUGAGCUAUUUCUAACAUAAGAGACAUGAUUCCAGUGCGCUACCAUGAACGCUUCUCAUAUGCAUGUAUAAUACCCAGUAUGCUCUACUAAAAAGAGUGAAAAUUAUCUUACACAUAACACAUACAUUUUAAGCAUUCUAAAAUUUAUAUAAAUUGCAUCUAGCAUUAAUAUGAAGUCAUUUUAACAUUACGACAAGUAUAUAAUGCAUAGGGGACAUUUUGCCCCGGUUCAUGAAGCCAAACCCACCGAAAAGCGAAACUCUUCGUUUCGCCGAAUGGAGGUAUCCACUACGCUCCUAGCACCCUAAAGAUGUAGGAACAAGAGUUACCCAAUCGAAACGAACAUCGCAUAGCUCAAACAUUAACCAUCUAGGCAUGAGGGCUAAAAACUCACCGAGUGCGAAGGAAACUCUCUCGAUCUCCAAAUGGGAGGUAGAGUCCUUCCAAUCCAACCUAAACAAAGGUUCUACACCCAUCAAUUAGGUUCCAAAGCCCUCAAAUCAAAAAUCCCCAAAAUAAACCCUAAAUCCCAAAAUCUAGGGUUUCAUAUGGUAAAACCUACCAAAACAUACUCCAAAGAGUAGAUUAAGCAUACUAACCUCCUUAGUAGCUCCAAACCAAGUUCAAAAUGCUCUAGGGUUGAAGGUUGAUCCUCUAUCAAGCUCCUAGCCAAAGUUCCAAGCCACCAAUGGUGAGAAACGAGGGAGAGGAAGAUGCUCCAAGGCCUCCAAACUUGCUCUCCUUCUACUCUUUCUUCUUCUUCCUCUCCUUCUCUUUCUAGAGAGUGUAGAGAGAGUGUGAGGGAGAGAAAUGAGGGUAAGUGGGAGAGGAAUGGCCUAUAAGCCCCUCUCAUGCAACAAAAUCCAGCUAGCCCCCUCAACAAUCCGACUAUUGCACUGCUUGGACUGGGCAGUUUUCAGGUGGAGGGACCGGUCUCUCCCUGCCUGGGACCGGUCUCUCAGGACCCUCCUGCGGACCACGCGUUCAGGAAUCGUUCUCUCUGGUUGAGGGACCGGUUGCCUCAAAGUCGGCCGCAACCACAGCCCGGGGGGACCGGUCUCUCCCACCAGGGACCGGUCCCCGAGAGUAAACCUCUCAGGACUUAGCCAAAAUUCUAGAAAUUCGAACUACGGGUCGGAACACAGUCUACGACCCUCCACCAAGUAUGGAAAAGCUCGAAACCCUAAUCAAACUCUCGAACCUCACAAUUUGCACAGGUUUAAUGUGUUACACGAAGCAUCCUAGGAACCAGCAGCGUGGACGCGGCUCAGCAGCGCAGACGCGGCUCAGCAGCGCAGCGAGGAGGUUUUGACCGUCGCCGGCCUUCCUCGUGUGUGAUCUGCAGUGGUCCUCAUUACCCACCGCAGUGUCCACAGCGGGCGGGCAGGUGCCUCCAGUGUGGCCAGGAGGGCCACGUCCGAACUGAGUGCCCGAGAGGUUCGUCACCGGCACCGUCGACUGCAUCGGCACCGGCUCUACCAGCUGCCAGCUACGGAACUCCUCGGCACAGUACCCGCUUGGGCGGCCACCCGUCCAGUGCCAGAGCGAGGGAUCUCGACAGGCCCCGAGCGGGCGUAUGUAUAUCGCUCAGACAAAGGAGGCGGCAGCAGCCGAGGAUGUAGUUGCAGGUAUCAUUUUACUUAAUGGCAUUAGAGUUCGUGCUUUAUUUGAUACUGGUGCAUCGCAUUUUUUCAUAGAUUGACUGUUUGCCGAGUUGCAUGGCAUUCCUUUAGUUUCGUUGUUGCAUCCGGGACGUGUAGUUGUCCCCGACCACUCUUUGGAUAUUAGAGAGUAUUGCCCUAGUUGCCCUGUAAGGGUAGAAGAGUGGAUUAUGCCUGUGGAUUUGCUAGCCUUGCGCAAGCUAUGGGAUUUUGAUGUGGUGUUAGGCAUGGAUUGGUUAACCAAGUAUUAUGCCACGAUUGAUUGUAUGAAUCGCAUGGUUACUUUUAGAGAACCGAGGCAGACUGAGGUUGUGUUUAGAGGAUGCCGGAGUUCGCUGUUUGCGAUGUCGAUCAGCUCGUCUCGAGCUAGGCAGUUGAUCAGCCGAGGAUGUGUAACCUAUUUGGCUAGUGUUGUGUUGAGGGGCGUGCAUGACACCCCUAGGAUUUAGGCUAUCCCGGUGGUGCAGGAGUCUCAGGACGUGUUUCCAGCUUAGCUACCGGGUAUGCCACCGGAUAGGGAGAUCGAGUUUGUGGUAGAUCUCGUCCCUGAGACUACUCCAAUCUCGAAGGCACCCUAUAAGAUGGCACCGGCGGAGCUAAAGGAGCUGAGGGCACGGCUACAGGAUUUGUUUGACAAAGGCUUCAUUCGACCGAGCAUCUCGCCUUGGGUAGCGCCAGUUUUGUUCGUCAAGAAGAAGGACAGAUCACUUCGCCUAUGUGUGGACUAUCAUGAACUUAAUAAAGUCACGAUCAAGAAUAAGUAUCCAUUGCCGAGGAUCGACGACUUAUUUGAUCAACUUCAAGGAUCGUGUGUGUAUUCCAAGAUAGACUUGCAGUCGGAAUACCACCAGUUAAAGAUCAAACGCGAUGAUGUGUCGAAAACGACUUUUAGAACACGGUAUGGACAUUAUGAGUUCACAGUUAUGUCGUUUGGAUUUACUAAUGCCCCGGCAGCUUUUAUGGAUCUGAUGAACCGUAUUUUUAAGCCUUUUCUAGACAGGUUCGUCGUAGUGUUCAUCGAUGACAUUUUGGUUUAUUUCCGAAGUGAUGCGGAUCAUGAGGAACAUUUGAGACUGGUACUUCAAAUACUUCGGGAAAAAAAGCUUUAUGCCAAGCUGAAAAAGUGUGAAUUUUGGCUUCGAGAGGUAGUUUUCCUUAGACAUUUGAUAUCGGGAUCGGGUAUAGCCGUGGAUCCUAAGAAGAUUGAGGCUAUCAAGGAUUGGCCGAGACCGACGAGCGUCACGGAGAUUCGGAGUUUUCUUGGAUUGGCCGGUUACUACCGGAGAUUUGUUGAGGGAUUUGCUAAGCUAUCUACUCCCUUCACGAGGCUCACGCAUAAAGGUGUCCAGUUCAUCUGGAAUAAUGCGUGUGAGAGGAGCUUCCAAAAGUUGAAACAACGAUUGACGACCGCCCCGAUCUUGACCCUGCCUGUUGCUGGAGCAGGGUAUAUGGUUUACAGCAAUGCAUCUCUUAAUGGAUUGGGCUGUGUGUUGAUGCAGGAUGGCAAAGUGAUCGCGUAUGCUUAUAUGGCGGUCGUAGUCUUCGCAUUGAAGUUAUGGCGCCACUACUUAUAUGGCGAGUGCUGUGAAGUAUACACGGAUCACAAGAGCUUGAAGUACCUGUUCACUCAGAAGGAGUUGAACUUGAGGCAGCGCAGAUGGUUGGAGCUGCUCAAAGAUUAUGAUAUGACGAUCCUAUACCACCCGGGCAAAGCUAACGUAGUGGAGGAUACGCUAAGUAGGAAAUUGACGGAAAACUUAGCGAUGCAUGUUGUUACUCACCCACAGUUGAUCGAGCAGAUGAAGCGGUUAGAGUUGGAGGUGGUGACUCCUGACACGCCUUUUAGGUUGAUGACAUUGGUAGUGCAACCUACAUGUGAGACCCCAAAUAGUCCUAUAUAUGAGAUAUAAUAGGGCUAAACUCUUAACCCGGCUUAAACAUUUUGGGUGGUGGCAAGGCCCAAGAGGUUAAGAGAGUUAAGCGUGCUAGGACGGGAGUAGUCCUAGGAUGGGUGACCCCCUGGGAAGUUGGGCCGUCACAAUAUCCCCGUAGUACGGAAGUUUGGAGAUGUGUUCCCAGCAGAGCUUCUAGGCAUGCCACCUGAUAGGGAGAUUGAGUUUGUGGUAGAUCUCGUUUCCAGGACUACCCCAAUCUCAAAAGCGCCCUAUAGGAUGGCACCGGCAGAAUUGAAGGAGCUGAAAGCACAGUUGCAGGAUCUUCUGGACAAGGGUUUUGUGCGGCUGAGUGUGUCACCUUGGGGAGUACUGGUCUUGUUCGUCAAGAAGAAGGAUGGAUCACUUCGCUUGUGCGUGGACUAUCGUGAACUUAAUAAAGUCACGAUCAAGAAUAAGUAUCCAUUGCCGAGGAUCGACAAUCUAUUUGAUCAACUCUAGGAAUCUAAUGUGUAUUUCAAGAUCGACUUGGAGUCGGGAUACCACCAGUUGAAGAUCAAGCUUGAGGAUGUGUCGAAGAUGGCUUUCAGAACACGGUAUAGAUAUUAUGAGUUACCGUUAUGCCGUUCGGGCUUACUAAUACCCCGGCAGCUUUUAUGGAUUUAAUAAACCGUAUUUUCAAGCCUUAUUUAGACAGGUUCGUCGUGGUGUUCAUCGACGACAUUUUGGUCUAUUCCCGAAGUGAUGCGGAUCACGAGGAACACUAGAGACUUGUACUUCAAAUGCUUUGGAAAAAGAAGCUCUAUGCCAAGUUGAAGAAAUGUGAGUUUUGGCUUAGAGAGGUGGCAUUUUUGGGCCAUUUGAUUUCAGGAUCAGGUUUAGCUGUGGACCCGAGGAAAAUUGAAGCUAUCAAGGAUUUGCCGAGACCGACGAGUGUCACGGAGAUACGGAGCUUCAUUGGUUUGGCCGGCUACUACCGACGAUUUGUCGAGGGAUUUGCAAAGUUGUCUACCCCCCUCACGAGGCUCACGUAUAAAGGCACCAAGUUUAUUUGGAAUGAUGCGUGUGAAAAGAGCUUCCAAGAGUUGAAGCAGAGAUUGACGACUGCCCCGAUCCUAACCUUGCCAACUGCUGGAGCAGAGUAUGUGAUUUACAGUGAUGCUUCCUUUAAUGGAUUGGAUUGUGUCUUGAUGCAGGACAGAAAAGUGAUCGCGUAUGCAUCACGCCAAUUGAAGGAUUACGAGAGGAAUUACCCUACUCACGACUUGUAGUUGGCGGCCGUGGUCUUUGCAUUGAAGCUAUAGUGCCAUUACCUGUACGGCGAGCGAUGCGAAGUAUAUACGGAUCACAAGAGCUUAAAGUAUCUAUUCACUCAGAGGGAGUUCAACUUGAGGCAACGCAGAUGUUUGGAGCUACUCAAGGAUUAUGAUUUGACUAUUCUCUACCACCCGGGCAAGGCUAACGUGGUGGCGGAUGCGCUAAGUAGGAAAUCAACGAAAAACUUAGCGAUGCUUGUGGUUGCCCAACCGCCGUUGAUCGAGCAGAUGAAGUGGUUGGAGUUGGAGGUGGUGGCUCCUGAUACACCUUUGAGACUGAUGACUUUGGUGGUGCAACCCACACUUGUGGAAAGGAUUAAAGAAAAACAAGUCUUCGAUGUGGAGUUGCAAAGGAUUCGAGUUAAGAUGAUUGAUGGUUGCACCAGUGAUUUUACUGUGGAUGGUGAUGGAUUGAUGCGUUUCCGCAGAAGGCUGUGUGUACCGGCGGACUUAUGUAUUAAAGAGGACAUUCUUCAAGAGGCACACCGAGCACCGUAUGCUAUUCAUCCGGGAGGCACCAAGAUGUACAAGGACUUGAGGUUGCUCUAUUUGUGGCCUGGAUGAAAAAGAAUGUUGGUUAGUUUAUUGCUAGAUGCUUAACUUGCCAACAGGUGAAAGCUGAGCACCGAGUUCCAGCAUGGAAAUUGCAGAGCUUACCGAUUCCGGUGUGAAAAUAGGAGAAAAUCACCAUGGACUUUGUGAUGGGAUUGCCACGCUCUCAGGCCGGGCAUGAUGCUAUUUGGGUGAUCGUGGAUAGGUUGACGAAAUCGGCACAUUUCAUACUUAUCCACACUACUUGGACUGGUGAGAGACUCGCACAGGUAUACAUGGAUGAGAUUGUGCGAUUGCACGGGGUACCUACUUCUAUAGUAUCUGAUCGAGACCUCCGAUUCGUAUCUCACUUUUGGAGGAGCUUACAGGAUGCUUUGGGUACGCGCUUGGAUUUCAGCACCGCUUUUCACCCCCAGAGCGACGGGCAGUCAGAGCGUACGAUACAGACACUCGAGGACAUGUUUCGAGCCUGUGUGAUUGUAAUACACUGAAUUUUUGCAAAUUGCGGAGUUCGAGUAUGGGAAAUGGUGUGUGGAUCACUCCUACAUGUUCUAAAAGGUUAGAACAAGUUUUUGGAUAAGUUAGAGGAUGAUUGGAAUGCUAAAAGUGAGAAAGUGCAUUGAACUGGCCAAAAUCAGCAUUUUCUGCUUGCUGUACCGGUACAGCCAUCACCUUGUACCGGUACAAGCUGGCAGAUUCGUGGCAGCAAGGCUANUCGCAUUGCUCGGGAGCGACUGUUGACAGCCCAGAGUAGGCAGAGGAGUUAUGCUGACAGGCAUCGACGAGACUUGGAGUUUCAGAUUGGUGAUCAUGUCUUCUUGAAAGUCUUGCCGACCAGAGGGAUUAGACGAUUUGGGAUCCGGGGUAAGUUGAGCCUCCGAUACAUUGGACCGUAUGAGAUUUUGGAGCGCAUAGGCCCGGUAGCGUAUCGACUUGCUCUACCAUCGAACCUAUCGGGUGUACAUAAUGUAUUCCAUGUAUCGGUCCCUUGGAAGUACAUCCAUGAUCCGGCCCACGUGUUGGACGCUACACCUAUGGAGCUGAGGGAUGAUUUGAGCUUUGAAGAGCAACCUUUGAGGAUUUUGGUUCGCGAGAUAAAGAGGUUAUGGAAUCGUGAAAUUCCUUAUGUGAAGGUGCUUUGGAGCAACCACGACGAGCACGAGGCCAGCUGGGAGUUGGAGAGCGCACUGCGGAAGCGCUAUCCCCAUAUUUUUCAGAUAGAGGCUUGAGGUACUUUGUCUUUUCGAGUUUCGCGGACGAAACUCCUUUUUAGGAGGGUGAAUGUAACACACUGGACUUUUGCAAAUUGCAAGGUUCGAGUAUUUGGGUUUGGUGUUUCGAGCUUUUUCCACACUUAGUGGAAGGUUGUAGAUGGUAUUCCAACAUAAAAGUUCGAAAAUCUGAAUUUCUGGACGAGUCCUGAGAGUUUUCACUCUCGGGGACCGGUCCCUGAUGGGAGAGACCGGUCCCAUCAUGCUGAGGUCGCGGCAGACCCUGAGUCAACCGGUCCCAAGCAGGGAGAGACCCGUUCCCGAAUGUUGGUUUUUCGAGAUGGACGUGAGAGACCAGUCACAGGCAGGGAGAGAUCGGUCCCUCUGGGUGAAAAUUGUCCAGACCGGCCUGAUGCAAUUUUGGAUUUUUGAAGGGCUUCUCUGGAUUUUGUUACAAUAGAUGGUCUAUAUGACCCAUCCACCCUCUCUUCUCCUCAUUUAUCUCCUCACACUCACCCUACACCCUUGAUAGAGAAGAAGGAGAAGAAGAAGGAGGAGAAGAAGGAAGAAAGGAGAAGGAGAAGAGCACUAGAGGACUUGGAGCAUAUUCCUCUCCCUCUCUUCUUCCUUUGGUGCUUGAAGCUUGGGCUUGGAGCUUGCAAGAGAUAAGAUCUACACCCUCGGAGCUUGGAUUGGAGUUUCUCUUGAGGUUAGUUGCUAUUUUCUCCCCUCUAGACCUAGUUUUGGUGGAUUUGGGAGUUGAAACCCUAGAAUGAGGUUUUAGGGUUGAUUUUGGGCAUUUUUGAUUUAGGGCUUUUGAGACUCAAUCUCUUGGAUUAGAACCUUCCUCUAGGUUAGAUUGGAAGGGUUCUAACUCUCUUUUGGAGCUUGGGAAGAGAUUGAUACUCUUGAGGUGAGUUUUGACCCUUAUGCUAGAUGGUUAAUGUUUGAGCUUUGGGCUCUUCGUUUCGUUUGGGUAACCCUAUUUUUGAUACUUUUAGGAUACUAGGAGGCUAGUGGACACCUCCGUUCUGCGAAACGAAGGUUUCGAUUUUGGUGGGUUUGACCUAGCCUACAAUAUGAGAAAUUCUCAUAUUUGGUGAUUUAUAUUUCGUAAAUUGGAAAAUCAUGCAUAUUCAUGUUAAAUAUAUUUAUUAUGAUUUUUAGAAUGCUUAAAAUGCCUAUGUUACAUGUAAUGCAUUUUGGACUUCUAUGUAGUAGAGAGUUGCAUAUGAAGCUUAUGUUUGAGUUUAGCAUUCUAAUGUUGGACCAUGCUCCUUAGAGUGAAAAUGAGCUUGGAUUCGUGCACUUAAACCUAUGUAUAAUUGAGACUGGUAAGAUAACUACAAUGCCAUAAAAGACGCACCGGACUAGAAUAUUAUGUGAUCAAGAGAGCUAAUGUCAUAAAGCGGCAUUGAGCUCGGGUUAUGUGAGAACCUAGUGGAUAGGACCAUUGAGGGACUUGGAACAUGCUUGAACAUCGAAAUGUCUAAGUGUCAUAAAGAGACACUAGACUUAAUGAACGUUGGAACUUCACAUUGUGACUUAGAACUAGAUCAUUAAGAUGCUAGUGACUAUUACCAUGUAGAAACAUGAUGACUGGGUACUUGAGACAUUGACUAUGCUUACUUGCCAUUUGUGCUCAUUCGCACAUGCUUGUGAGGGUCGCUCCCUACAAGCCGGCACUCCGGAGUUAGCCUAUGCGACUUAUGCUCGCUUGUGCGGUAUCGAGAAACCUACGGGGUCGGGAGGGAUAGACUCAUUCCUAGAGUGGGAAUGCUGGAGCUACCACCGACACUUAGGUGGCACAAGCUGGACUACAAAUAUGUAGGUCCUAGAACAUGAUUAAAUAAUGACAUUGAACAGGAAAAUGACAAUCACUACUUGAUAGCUUAGUAGUUGGAUUACCUUGAUAUGCUUAUGACAUAGCUUUGGGACAUGUAGUAUACUUGAUAGUAUAUUUACCGCAUCAUAGUAUACUUUGUUGCCAUGUUGAGACAUACUACCUAUGCAUUGGACAUAUUUCUUAUGAAAGAGUAAAUGUACAUCACAUUGACAUCGUAAUGCUUAUGAUAUGGUAAUCUUAGUAAACUUACUUGCUAUUAUAUUUACAGCUUAUCAUUAUUACUGUUGUUUAUCUUACUUACCCUUUUCUUUUGGGGCCUAGUGGUGCAUUGAGCUGAGGUCAGUAAUUGCCCACUGGGAACUAUAAACUAUAGUUCUCACGCCCUCAGUUUUUGGUCUUCUUUUCAGAGCCUUCCACGCCGGGAGAGGCUAGGGAUCGCGGAAAGGGAAUCGCCUCGGGUUAGCGUUCAUUGCCGAGGGAUCGUUUGAUAGGUGGUCUACCUCUCGUUGUUUUCUUUUGUGAGAGGUUGAGAGUUGUACCAGUGUAUUAGAGGCCACCCUUUUUGUACCUAUGAGAUGAUUAUUGUAUUACUUUAUACUCUACUUUUAUUGUUAGUUAUGUUCUUUCUACCUUGUGCUAGAUGUUAGAUUUAUACUUGCUCUGAUAUCUCUAGUUGUAGAUUAUCUUUGGCUUAAUUUUCCGCUGUUAUUGUAGACGCCUUAUAUGUGUAGACAUAUGGUGGGUCUGGGCACGCUACCGGGAGAGCCUCCGCCGGUCCCGGGGCGUGACACUCUCGGUCCCAAUGUGUUGGAUAUCCACCUUCUUCUUGUCGUAUUCCUUCACAGCAAGAUACUUUAUAUCGAUAUGUUUACUGCGAUCUGUAACUCGACUAUUCUUGGCAAAGAACACUGCAGCAGAGUUGUCGCAAUAAAUCUUAAUUGGCCUUGAGAUAGAAUCGACAACUCUUAAACCUGAGAUAAAAUUUUUCAGCCAUAAAGCCUGUGACGAAGCUUCAUAGCAAGCGAUGAACUCUGCCUUCAUAGUGGAUGCAGAAACUGUAUCUUGCUUAGUGCUCCUCCAAGAUAUAGCACCUUGAGCAAGUAAGAAAAUAUAUCAUGAUGUGGACUUUCUAGAAUCCACGUAUCCAGCAAAAUCAGAGUCCGAAUAUCCAACCACCUCAAGAUGGUCAAAAUGUCUGUAGGUGAGCAUAUAAUUCUUUGUUCCUUGUAAAUAUCUCAUAAUCUUGUUUGCAGCUUUCCAAUGAUCAAGACCAGGGUUGCUUUGGUAUCUACCAAACAACCCCAUUGCAUGAGCUAUAUCAGGUUUGGUACAGACCUGCGCAUACAUCAAACUCCCUACUGCAGAGGCAUAGGGUAUGCUCUUCAUAUGUUCUCAUUUUAAAUCAUUCUAAGGACACUGUUUCUGAUUGAAUUUGUCGCCUUUUAUAAUAGGCGCAGCUGUAGGUGCAUAGUUUGCCAUAUUAAAUCUUUUUAGAACUCUUUCGAUGUACGCUUUCUGAGAUAGACCUAAAAUCCUUUGAGAUCUAUUUCUGUGAAUCUUUAUGCCAAUGACAAAAGAGGGUUCACCCAUAUCCUUCAUCUCAAAAUUCUUAGAAAGAAAAUCUUUAGUCUCUUUGAGCAAACUCAAAUCACUACUUGUAAGCAGAAUAUCAUCCACAUACAGAACUAAGAAAAUAUACUUACUCCCACUAACCUUAAGGUAUAUACACUGGUCCACAAUAUUUUCUACGAAACCAAAUAUAGUAAUUAUAUUAUGAAAAUUGAUAUACCACUGAUGGGAAGCCUGUUUAAGUCCGUAUAUAGAUUUCUUUAGUCUGCAAACAAGGUGAUUAUUUUUAUCUGUACUAAAACCUUCGGGCUGUUGUAUAUAGACUAUCUCCUCUAUAUCCCUCUUUAGAAAUGCCAUUUUCACAUCCAUCUGAUGUAAUUCUAAAUCAAAAUGAACUACCAAAGCCAUGAUAAUUCUUAAUGAAUCAUUCUUUGAUAUCGGAGAGAAGGUUUCAUGAUAAUCAAUGCCUUCUUUCUGAGUGAAACCAUUGGCAACAAGUCUGGCCUUAUGUCACGCCCCGAGCUCGCCAAUUUGGUCGGUUUCGAGCACGUCAAUAGACCGCCGAACGGACAGGGUUUCUCCUGUACCGCGGACAGAGUCUCCCCUGUACAUUCAAGGCGGCGCAAUCAGUACAAUGUACGAAGUUCCAACCAGGAACACAUUUCAAUCAAAGAUUGUAUAAGGAAGUAUCAAAAACAUAAUUACAACUAAGUUUAUUAUAAUCAUUCAACUCACAUUCACUAGAUACAUUUUACAUCACAAAUACAUAUUACUUACAUUUGCUUUCACUUAACUUCCAAAUACAAUCCGAUUUAACAUGGUUAUUACAACUUAAUUCUUUUCAUUUUUUACAUCCCUAAGUAAAGCCAACUAAGGGUACCGCUAUCUCUGGUCUCGGUGGUAGGGGGCUAACUAUGAUGCUACGCCCUCGCCUCGCGCCGCCGCGCCGCUCACGUGCGAACCUGUAACACCCCAAAACAACGUGGGGUGAGAACCAACUCCAUGGUUUCCAGUGGGUACGGCCACCCAAGAAAAAAACUCGACCAAUAGGUCCAAUGAGGCACUGCAACAAGUUAGUCCAAUACAUACGAAAUAUAUUUAUGCUUUUACUCGAUAUUGAACUACAUGUCAUGCCUCGCGAUAUGCAAUAUGAAAUGUAUGCAACUAUGCAAGUAAGUAAAUGAUUUUGCUUUCUAUCAUUUUCAUUUUUUAUUGCUAGCCAUUCUUUACUACUUGCAUUCUUUCUUAUUAGCCAUUCUUUAUUCUUAGCUUUUCUUUAUUCUUAGCUGUUCUUUACUCUUUACUCUUUGUAGCGCUUACUCAAUGGCCACUCUUUUCUAAUGUUACUCUACCUUAAUUCUCUAUGCCACCUGACUCGGUCUUGAGUUAAUCAAUCGCGGAUAGUCCGCGCACUGUCUAGCUUGAGGUGAAGGAACUCGCUCACAUGCACCUUAGCCAACCACAGCUCACCACACUCCGUGACCUAGCCGUCUGGCGACGAACGCAUUGCACCUCACCAAACAACAGCCUAGGUUAUGACUUAGCCACCCGGCGGCGAAAUCGUCGCACACGCCACGUCGAUGGUUCAGUCCACUAGCGAUAUAAUCCUUAAACCGGCUAACCAUCCGGCGGCGAAAUCGUCGCAUACGCCACGUCAAUGGUAUAGCCUCGGGCGGAGAAAUCGUUGCACACGCCCAACACCACUCUCGGUGUUCCAUAAGCUUUAGGAUUCCGGAAUCCAUUUCACAUAACUCAGGGUUUGGUCUUAUCCCUAUAGUAUCGACCUAUCUAGGUCCAAGCUUUUACUUAACCUAAGAUAAUACAUUAGGUUCAAUGCUACUAAGCUCAUAGCCUAGGUUCAUUAACACUAGGUUCAUGUUCUUUAUUACCUAGGUUCCUUUGACUCUAGGUUCAAUGCCACUCAUUAUACUUGUCAUCCUAAUUAUUCACACUUAGGAUUGUUAGUUGAUGCCACUCAAUGUUCUUAGUUUCCUAGUUGUCCAUACCUAGGAUUCUUAAUUGACACGCCACUCGAUGUUCAUACUUUACAAUGUUAAGUUCUUUACUCUACUUAGAGUUAUCGAUCUUAGUUCAACCUUCAUAUCAUUCUAGCAUAUGCCCACAAUAUGAACAUUCAUACAUAAUUAGCAGCUCAUGCACAUGCAUUCAUAAUCAGCAUCUCUAUCUUAUACAUUAAUCUAGCAUUUAACUUAUGCAUUCUUGACUAGCAUAUACUCUAUGCAUUCAAUUGACAUCUAACUCAUGUUAAGUAACAUCUUACUCAUGCAUAUACAAUUAGCAUUUAAUUCAUGUCUCAUCUAACAUUUCUACAAUAUGUCAACAUGCAUUUCUUAGCAUACAUCUUAUGCGUUCAUUUAGCAUUUAGCCCUUACAUUCACUGAGCAUACUUUCUAUGCAUUUACAACUAGCAUCCAUCUUAAUCAUGCAUUCUUAAUUAGAAUUUCUACUUUAUGUCUUUAGCAUGCAUCAAUAUGAAACCACGCUAUUCUUAGACAUACAGGCGACCUAGUCGCUUCGGUAAACACAACCCACCUCAGAACGCGUUCCGAUUGCUUGUAGUCACUUGCAAUCGGCCUCCCGCGACACCCGUGACCCGGUUCGGCCCGAACUCUCGCGCGACCACCCGAACGGCCACCAAUCCGCGAUCCGUCUGUUCUGGAGUUUAUUCCUCGAUACCACGAUGCUCCAGAUCCGAUCUCGUGAUUUUUAGACGUCUAUUCCGCGUGCUGCGGCUAUCUGUACCAAAAUUGACCGUUUCGUCAAUAACUUCGCAUAGACUUUUCGUUUCACCGAACCAAGCGCACCAACGCGUUCGUUUGAUCCCCAAUUAGGUUUCCAAGAGGCCAAUUUGCCUUAGAAACACUCGGAGGCAAAAGCCCCAAAUUUGGUGCCCUAACAAUGCCAAAAUCAAAUUUCUUAGAAUUGAUCUUGUAGCUAAGCAUAAUUAAGCUUAGAACCACCCAAGAAGCUCUCUAAUCUCAUUUUUAAACCAUUUGAACCAUUUCUAGGGCAUCUAGAGCCAACCCUAGAAGUUCACCAUUAGAGCACUACGAAGAAACCAUGGAUUUCAUGUGUUCUUCGUCUACUACGAGGUUUCUACACUUGUAGGGAGAUCAAAACCAAAGAUCUAGGGUUUAAAACCAAACCCUAACCCUAAUCUUACAAGAAACCAUAAAAAAAGCUCAAGCUUACCUCUCUAGGUUUGCUCCAAGGUGAGGAAGAAGAUGAUGGAGAGGACGAUCUCCUCCUUGAUCUUCUUCUCCUUCUUCCUCUUCUUCUUUUUUUUCUCUUUUCCUCUCUUUUCCUUCUCUUUUUCCUUCUCUUUUUCUUGCAACCGGUUGAGAGAGAGAGGGAGAGAGAGAGCUGCUGUAAAGGGAAGGGUUGGGGUGCUCUAAUGUGUUGCAACAAUUGCUAAUAAACCCCCCAAACAUUCAUAAUUACAGCAGACCAAUUCUGUGUUGUUCUGCCACUGCGUACCGGUACACGGGUUGGUGUCACCGGUACACGGUCGCACAACAACCAAACCCGAGAGUUAUCUUCUCGAAUUUUACACUGCGUACCGGUACACGGGUUGGUGUCACCGGUACACAGCCUUUUUCAGGACUUAGCCAAUUUUCUGCUUUUUCUCCGUUUUCGCUCGUUAGGCCUCCGAUUCAUUUCAAAUCCACCAAGACCCCCAAAACAUGUUUUCGAGCAUGAUUUCAUCAUCUUUUCUUCCACGCUAAUGCCGGAUUUAGCUCAUAGUCCGACAUAGCCUUUCGGGUCCCGUUUUCGCGUCAACGCGCACCGAAAAUACCCAAAUGCUUUCGACCUCAAUCUCGCAUUGUUUCGACUCCAAUUCGCGCCGAGCAAUAGUAAAACCUUUCUAACCUCAUUGGAACUCACUUUUAACCCUUCCAACACUGUUGGAAUGUUAAAUAGAUUUCGUCCAACCACUUCUCUUGGGCUCUUUGGCCAAGGUGACGCCCCAACUUCUCAGGGGGUCACCCAUCCUAGGACUACUCCUGUUCUAGCACGCUUAACUCUCUUAACCUCUUGGGUCUUGCCACCACCCAAAAUGCUUAACCCGGGUUAAGCAUUUUGGGUGGUGGCAAGACCCAAGAGGUUAAGAGAGUUAAGCGUGCUAGGACGGGAGUAGUCCUAGGAUGGGUGACCCCUGGGAAGUUAGGGCGUCACAGCCAAUUUGGCUAGAGUCCAACAUUCUAUCGAAGUUUCGGUAUGUUACAUUCUCCAUCCCUUAAAAGAAUUUCGUCUGCGAAAUUCAAACCACACCUCAACUCGACUUGCCGAGCUAUUGAGGGUACCAACACACUUUCCCACUCCGAAAUUGCCUUUCACUCAUCGGAAUUAUCCAAAGGCUCACUACGGAGGAUGUGAGACCAAAUUUACUCACACUUACCAUGCGUAACUCCAAAAGUGCAUUACCAUUCUGUAAAGAAUUGCUCUUUGCAUUACACGCCUAAUCGGGCAAUUCACUCCGAUUCGAUCACCGGCAUUGCCUAGAAGCAAUAUCGUUGGUGCAUCGACCAAUCGCGAGUGCUCCAAUCCCAACUGGAUCCUUGCUCUAUUGCGAGAUGGCCCACUCCGGCACAUCUCCAAUCUUAAUCUACAAAAAAGCAUUUUCCUCAAGCUCCAAUUCUCACGUGGCUUUUCCUAGCUCAGUGCCUCACAAGCACAUUCAUCCUCUGUUGUCAUAGCCACGACCGACUCGACUUCGUUGUCGCCAUUAGCUCACACGAACACACCGCUCACGAAUUCUAAUCCCACGCUUUAAUAGAGUUACCGGCCAAGCCGCUUUCCUCGGUUUCCACAGGUGGUCCAUCGACCGCCAACCCUACGUAUGUAACACACUGGACAUUGCAAAUAGCAAGGUCCGAGUGUUUGAGUUGUGUUCUGAGUUUUUCGAGACUUUCUGGUGGGUCGUCGACAGUGUUCCGACCCAUGACUCGCAUCCCGAGAAUCGAUGUUUUAAUCGUAGCACCAAAACCCAAAAAGAUUGGACUUUGGUCUACUGUCGAAUUGACCUCAACAGGCUGUGUACCGGUAUAGGGUUGAUGGCUGUACCGGUACAGGGUUAAUGGCUGUGCCAGUACGCCUCCAUGUACCGGUACACAGACAGCUUCCCAGCCAACCCGAGGCUUGAGUUUACCAUUUUCGUGGGACCCGUACCGGUACGUGGGCCCGUGUACCGGUACGCAGUGCAGAAUGCAGUAUGCUUGGGUUUGGAGGGUGUUUUUGCAUUUGUAGCAACACUACAAGUACCCCACGCCUCCCCUCUUGUUCCCUGAGCUUGGAGGCAGUGGAGAGAAGGUAAGGGAGCCCUCCACCCCUUCUCUUUGAUUUUCUUUAUUUUUUUGAAAUUUUUGAGGUUUAAUCCUCUCUUUUUGCUUCUUUUUGUAUUUUGGUGACCUUUCCACCAUGGGAGAAGCUUGGGAGCUUGGAGUUGAGCUUAUUGGAGGAGAGAUCUUCAACCCUAGUGGAUUUUGAACCUUGUUUGGGACUUCAUGAGAGGUUAGUUGUUUACUAUUUCCCUUUUGAUCUUGAUUUUUAUGAUUUUUGUAUAGAAAUCCUAGAAAUGAGGAUUUAGGGUUUGAUUUGGCAAUUUUUGAUCUAGGGCUUUUGGAGCUCAAUUGAUCGGUUUAGAACCUUCCUCUAGCUUGGUUUGGAAGGGUUCUAGCUCUCAUUUGGAGCUUGAGAGGGAUUUUCUCCACUUAGGUGAGUUUUGCCCUAUUCUUUGGGUUGGUUAAUAUUUGAACUUGUUGUUGUUCGUUUGAUGCGUGUGACACUCCUAGUUUAACCUAUAGGGAGCUAGGAGGUUUGUGGGCACCUUCUUUCGGCGAAACGAAGGGCUUCGAGAGGACUUGGUGGGUUUGGCCUCACCAAAAUGAGAUAAAAUUCUCAUAUGAUGGUUAUUGCUUAUCGUAAAAUAAAAAUGCAUGCAUAUUCAUGCUAGAUAGAAUAUUUGAGAAUUUUAGAAUGCUUAAAAUGCACAUGUUAUAUACAAUGCAUAUUUGACCUCUAUGUAGUAGAGAGUUUUCAUGUUGGGCUAGGGGCCUAUGGUUAGCAUUCUCAUACUUGGUUGUGGAUCAUGUUUCAUUUAGUAAAAUUAAUGAGUGCAUUGCACUUUUGGACUUAGACCCAUGCUUUGUAUAAUAUGCCAAUGUCAUANAGAAACCCUAGAAAUGAGGAUUUAGGGUUUGUUUUGGGGAUUUUUGAUCUAGGGCUUUCGGAGCUCAAUCGAUCGGUUUAGAACCUUCCCUUGGGUUGGUUUGGAAGGGAUCUAGCUUCCAUUUGGAGCUUAAAAGUGAUUUUCUACCCUUAGGUGAAAUUUUAGCCCUUUUUGCCUUGAUGGUUAAUGUUUGAGUUUCGAGUUGUUCGUUUCGUUUGUGUAACCCUCGUUUUGAUGCUUCUAGGGUACUAGGAGUCUUGUGGGCACCUCCGUUCGGCGAAACGAAGGUUUCAAUUUUGGUGGGUUUGGCCUCACCUAGAUGAGAUAAACUUCUCAUAUGAGGGUUUUUUUAUUUAUCGUAAAGUGAAAACACAUGUAUAUUCUUAUUGGAUAGAAUAUUUGAGAAUUUUAGAAUGCUUAAAAUGCUCAUGUUAUAUACAAUGCAUAUUUGACCUCUAUGUAGUAGAGAGUUUUCAUGUUGGGCUAGGGGCCUAUGGUUAGCAUUCUCAUACUUGGUUGUGGAUCAUGUUUCAUUUAGUAAAAUUAAUGAGUGCAUUGCACUUUUGGACUUAGACCCAUGCUUUGUAUAAUAUGCCAAUGUCAUAAAUAGGCAUUGGGCUUGGACUAGAUAUGGAUUUAGCAAGCUAAUGUCAUAAAGGGGCAUUAAGCUUGGCAUACAUGUGGACUUGAUAACCUAUUAACAUAAAAGGGGCAUUAGACAUGAAUGACAUGUGAAUUGCAUAUGAAGCUUGCACUAGCAUUGGCCAUGCUUAUGUGGGACUCGGGACCAUAUUUCUUAACAUAAAAUGGGCAUUGUUUUAUGCAUUUAAACCUAUACCCAACUAAGACAUAAGGGGCUUAGUAAACCUUAAGAGGCUUGGGGACUUGUGCUACUUGUGAAUGAUUGGGCUAAUGUCAUAAAGGGGCAUUGAGCUCGGGUUAAAUGAGAACCUAGUAGUAAUGUUAUGCUUGGAGCAUAGAAUAUGAAAUAUGAUAACUCAUGACAAUGCUUAAGUGUCAUAAAUAGGCACUAAGCUUAGAAUAUAUUUGAACUUGGUUAAACUAGGGUCAUUGACAUAGAAAUUAUUGAACGGUUAAACCUUCACUUUGAGACAUAGUACUAGACCUUUGAGUGCUAGUGACUGUUACCAUGUUAGAGACAUGAUGAUUGGGUACUUGAGACGAUGACCAUACUUGCUUGCCAUUUGUGCUCAUUCGCACAUGCUUGUGAGGGUCGCUCCCUACAAGCCGGCACUCCGGAGUUAGCCUACGCGACUUAUGUUCGCUCGUGCGGUAUCGAGUAGCCUACGGGACUUGGAGGGUUAGACUCAUUCCUAGAGUGGGAAUGCUGGAGCUACCACUGGCACUUAGGCGGCACAAGCCAGACCACACCUGUGUAGGUCCUGAAUGAGAUUGAACCAGAAUAUUAAACAACAAGUUGAUAAUCACUACUAGACAGGUUGUAGUAGUUGGAUUUGUGACAUGCUAUGGCAUAGGGUUGGACAUUUGGAUUUCUAGUACACUUGACAGUAACGCUUAGUGCAUUGUAGUAUACUUGGUUGCCAUGAUAGUACGCACUAUAUAUAUAGUUGGCUUUGGGACAUAUAGCAUACUUCAUAAUAUUACUUGUUGCAUUAUGGCAUAUUUGUUCAAGUAUUGGCAUAUUGGAUCAUGUAGAGUAGUUGUACUCCAUGUUGACAUUCUUGUUACUUGUGGCAUAGUAGAGUAGCAUUUAUUAUAUGCUUCAUUUACCGCAGUUAAUUUCUGUUAUACAUAUCUGCUUAUAUUUUGGGCCUAGUGGUGCAUUUGGUGCAAGUCAGUAAUUGCCCACUAGGAACUAUAAAUUAUAGUUCUCAUGCCCCCUGUUUUAUGUUUUCUUUCAGAGCCUUCCACUUCGGGAGGGGCUCGGGAUCGCGGAAAAGGUUUCGCCUCGAGCUAGCUAUCGAAGGAUUUGGCGAUAGAUGGUCCACCUCUCUUUUAUUCUUUUUCUUUUGGAAAGGUUGUGGGAGUUUGUACCUUGUUAUAGAGACCACCGAACUUUUGUAUCUUGAGACUUUUGAUGUAUUAGUUUACUUUAUGUUUUAGUAGAUUAGUUCUCUUUAUCUCUACUUUGAUAAAACUUAGUUGUUUACUUGCUCUGAUAUCUCUAGAUACUUUCUAUUUUCUUGUUCACUUACCGCUUUUGCUGUAGACGCCUUAUAUGUGUUGGCAUAUGGCGGGUCUGGGCACGCUCCGGGCGGGCCUAUACCGGGUCUCGGGGCGUGACAGAUUAAUUUGGUAUCAGAGCCUAAGGUUGAGUCUUAGUGGACCUAAUGAACCUUUAGGCCGGUUGGACUAUAGGAAUUAGACUCGCGAGAGACGAUGUCUGUUUGAUUUGUAAGCGAAAGUAUCAUGAUUGGGUUUCUUUGAUAACUCCAAAAAGUUGGAGUUCGAUCGAAAUGUAUGUGUCACGCCCCGGUACCGGCGGAGGCCCUCCCGGUAGCGCGCCCAGACCCGCCAUAUGUCUACACAUAUAAGGCGUCUACAACAACAGCGGAAAUAAAGCGAGAAAUAAAAUAGAAAGGAAGAUCAACAACUAAUGAUAUCAAAGCAGUAUGAUUCUAUCAUCUACAACAAGAGUAAAAAACAAAACUGAACAAUAAAAGUAACUCAUAAAGUAGUACAAUAUCUGUCUCAAAUACAAAAAUGGUGGUCUCUAGUACACUGGUAAAACUCUCAACCUCUAACAAAAAGAAACAAAGAGAGGUAGACCACCUAUCCAACGAUCCCUCGGCAAGCAUGCUAGCCCGAGUCGAUACCCUUUCCGCGAUCCCUAGCCUCUACUGGGGUGGAAGGCUCUGAAAAACAUCGAGAAAAAGAGGGCGUGAGAACUAUAAUUUAUAGUUCCCAGUGGGCAAUUACUGACCUCAGCUCAAGCACCACUAGGCCCUAAAAGAGAAGGGUAAGUAACAACAAUAACAAUAAGCAAUAAAGAGCGAGUGUAAGAACUGCUGAAAGAAAGCAUAAAUGAAAUACUACCACUAUGUCUCAAGUAAGCAUGAUGUCAAAGUAUAGUACAUCUACUCUAUCAUGAUAUGUAUGUCUAAAGCAUGACUAUUAAGUUCCAAUCAUAACAAACAAGUAAGCAUCUCGAUACAAUAUGUCCAUACAUAGGGAGUAAGCUCUAUCAAAGCAAUCGAGUAUACUACAAUGCAAUAAAUGAAACAAGCAGGUAUACUAUAUGUCCCAAAGCUAUGCCAUAGCAUGUCAAAGUAAUCCAACUACUAAGCCUUAUUUAGUAGUGAUUAUCCAUUCCCGGUUCAAUGUCAUUGUUCAAUCAUGUUCUAGGCCCUACAUUACAGUAGUCCAGCUUGUGCCGCCUAAGUGUCGGUGGUAGCUCCAGCAUUCCUACUCUAGGAAUGAGUCUAUCCCUCCCGACCCCGUAGGCUUCUCGAUACCGCACAGGCGAACAUAAGUCGCGUAGGCUAACUUCGGAGUGCCGGCUUGUGGGGAGCGACCCACACAAGCAUGUACGAAUGAGCACAAAUGGCAAGCAAGUAUAGUCCAAGUCUCAAAUGUCUGAUCAUCAUGUCUCUAACAUGGUAUAGUCACUAGCAUCCCGAAGAUCUAGUUCUAAGUCACAAUAUGAAGUUUCAACACUCACCUUACUUGGUGCCUCUUUAUGACACCUAAGCAUGUUAACCACUAAGUCCAUUUUAUGUUCUAUGAUUCAAAUAUGACAUUAAUACUAGGUUCACACAUAACCCGAGCUCAAUGCCGCUUUAUGACAUUAGCUCUCCAAAUUAAACCAUACACUAGUUCGGUGCCUCUUUAUGACACUUAGUUAUCUUUCAUGUCUCAAGUAAUCAUAAGUUUAGAUGCAUGAAACAAAGCUCAUUUUCAUUAUAAAGAACAUAGUCCAAUAAGAAUGCUAAGCUCAAGCAUAAGGUUCAUAUGCAACUCCCUCUACUAUAUAGAGGUCCAAAAAUGCUUUAUAUGUAACAUCGGCAUUUUAAGCAUUCUAAAAAUCAUAACAAAUACAUUUAGUAUGAAUAUGCAUGGUUUUUCAAUUUACGAAAUAUAAAAUACCCAAUAUGAGAAUUUCUCAUAUUAUAGGCUAGGUCAAACCCACCAAAAUCGAAACCGUCGUUUCGCCGAAAGGAGGUAUCCACUAGCUUCCUAGUACCCUAGAAACAUCAAAAAUAGGGUUACCCAAACGAAACGAAAAGCCCUAAACUCAAUCUUUAACCAUUUAGCAAAAGGGUCAAAACUCACCUCAAGAGUAGAAAUCUCUUCCAAAGCUCCAAAAGAGAGCUAGAACCCUUCCAAUCUGGCCUAGAGGAAGGUUCUAAUCCAAACAAUCUAGCUCAAAAAGCCCUAGAAUCAAAAUGCCCAAAAUUAGCCCUAAAACCUCACUCUAGGGUUUCAUCUACUAUAAAGCAACAAAACUCAAAUCUAGAGGAAGAGAACAAGUUGCUUACCUCUUAGAAGCUUCAAACUAAGCUCAAAGUCCUCUAUCAACCAAGAUCUCUCUUCAACCAAGCCUCAAAUCCAAGUUUCAUGCUUCAACAAUGGUGGAAGUAGCACCAAAGAGCAAAAGAGAGGAGAAUCCAUCAAAAAUCCAUACAAAAUGGAGUAUAAAUCCAAAGAGGGGAAAAGAGAGGCUCCCUACCUUGCUCCUCCACUGGCUCCAGCUCAGGGAGAGCCCUAGGGGCGUGGGGACACAUAUAGAAUGCCACAAUUGCAAAUACACCCCUGCAGAAUCAAACUACUCAAAAACUGCCUCCUUGUACCGAUACACGGGCCCUUGUACCGGUACAAGCCCCAUGAAAAUCACAACCCGAGGCUCGGGUUGGCGGGGUAACCGGCCCUGUACCGGUACAAGCCCCCCUGUACCGGUACAACCAUCAGCCUUGUACCGGUACAAGCCCUGCUGAAGGCUACCCGAGAGCUGACCAAAAAUUUGAUUUUUCGGGUUUUGGUGCUAAGCUUUAAACCUCAAUUCUCGGGAUACGUGCCAUAGGUCGGGACACAGUCAAUGACCCACCAGAAAAUCUGGAAAAACUCAAAACACAGCAAAUCACUCAAACCUCGCAAUUUGCAAAGGUCCAGUGUGUUACAUUCACCCCUCCUAAAAAGGAGUUUCGUCUGCGAAACUCGAAAAGACAAGUACCUCAAGACUCCAUCUGAAAAAGAUGGGGAUAGCGCUCUCUCAGUGCGCUCUCCAGCUUCCAAGUGGCCUCACGCUCGUCGUGGUUGCUCCAAAGCACCUUCACGUAGGGAAUCUCACGGUUCCGCAGUCUCUUUACCUCGCGAGCCAAAAUUCUCAAAGAUUGCUCCUCAAAGCUCAAAUCAUCCCUCAGCGCCACAGGUGUAGCGUCCAACAAGUGAGCCGGAUCAUGGAUGUACUUUCGAAGGACCGAUAUAUGGAAUACGUUGUGUACACCCGAUAGGUUCGGUGGUAGAACGAGUCUAUAUGCCACCGGGCCUACACGCUCCAAAACCUCAUACAGUCCAAUGUAUCGGGGGCUCAACUUACCCAGAAUUUCAAAUCUUCUAAUUCCCUUGGUCGGCGAGACUUUCAAGAAAACAUGAUCUCCAAUCUGAAACUCCAAGUCUCGUCGACGCCUAUCGGCAUAGCUCCUCUGCCUACUCUGGGCUGUCAACAGUCGCUCCCGAGCAAUGCGAACCUUGUCCUCUGCUUCCUGGAGCACAUCUGGGCCUAAAGCCAAUCUCUUGCCAACUUCACUCCAAUGAAGUGGAGAUCUACACUUCCGUCCAUAGAGUGCCACGAACGGUGCCAUCUUGAUGCUUGCUUGAUAACUGUUGUUAUAAGCAAACUCUACCAUCGGUAGAUGCUGCGACCAUCCUCCCUGGAAGUCAAUCACACAAGCUCGAAGCAUAUCCUCGAGAGUCUGUAUCGUACGCUCCGACUGCCCGUCACUCUGGGGGUGGAAAGCAGUGCUGAAGUCCAAGCGCGUACCCAGAGCAUCCUGUAAGCUCCUCCAAAAGUGGGAUACAAAACGGGGAUCUCGAUCUGACACUAUAGAAGUAGGUACCCCGUGCAAUCGCACAAUCUCAUCCAAGUAAACCUGUGCGAGUCUAUCACCAGUCCAAGUAGUGUGGAUAGGUAUAAAAUGUGCCGAUUUCGUCAGCCUAUCCACGAUCACCGAAAUAGCGUCGUGCCCGGCCUGUGAGCGAGGCAAUCCCAUCACAAAAUCCAUAGUGAUCUUCUCCCACUUCCACACUGGAACCGGUAGGCUCUGCAAUUUUCCCGCGGGAACUCAGUGCUCAGCCUUCACUUGUUAGCAAGUUAAACAUCUAGCAACAAACUCACCAACAUCCUUUUUCAUCCCGGGCUACCAAUAAAACAACUUCAAGUCCUUGUACAUCUUGGUGCCUCCCGGAUGAAUAGCAUACGGUGCUCGGUGUGCUUCUUGAAGAAUGUCCUCUUUAAUGCCCAAGUCCGCCGGUACACAUAGCCGUCCGCGGAAACGAAUCAAUCCAUUACCGUCCAAAGUAAAAUCACCGGUGCAACCAUCAAUCAUUUUAGCUCGAAUACUUUGCAACUUCACGUCGGAGGCUUGCUUUUCUUUAAUCCUUUCCAUAAGUGUAGGUUGCACCACCAAAGUCAUCAGUCUCAAAGGUGUAUCAGGAACCACCACCUCCAACUCCAACCGCUUCAUCUGCUCGAUCAACGGCGGUUGAGUAACCACAAACAUCGCUAAGUUUUCCGUCGAUUUCCUACUUAGCGCAUCAGCCACCACGUUAGCCUUGCCUGGGUGGUAAAGGAUAGUCAAGUCAUAAUCCUUGAGUAGCUCCAACCAUCUACGCCGCCUCAAGUUCAACUCCUUCUAAGUGAAUCGAUACUUCAAGCUCUUGUGAUCUGUAUAUACUUUGCAUCGCUCGCCGUACAGAUAGUGUCGCCACAGCUUCAAUGCAAAGACCACGGCCGCCAACUCCAAGUCGUGAGUAGGGUAGUUCCUUCCAUAAUCCUUCAAUUGGCGAGAUGCAUACGCGAUCACUUUUCCGUCCUGCAUCAAGACACAGCCCAAUCCAUUAAAGGAAGCAUCACUAUAAAUCAUAUACCCUGCUACAGCAGUUGGCAAGGUUAGGAUCGGGGCGGUCAUCAAUCGCUGCUUCAAUUCUUGGAAGCUCUUUUCACACGCAUCAUUCUAAAUAAACUUGGUGCCUUUAUGCGUGAGUCUCGUGAGGGGGGUAGACAACUUUGCAAAUCCCUCGACAAACCGUCGGUAGUAGCCGGCCAAACCAAUGAAGCUCCGUAUCUCGGUCACGCUCGUAGGCCUCGGCCAAUCCUUGAUAGCUUCAAUUUUCCUCGGAUCCACAGCUAUACCUGAUCCUGAAAUCAAAUGGCCCAGGAAUGCCACUUCUCUAAGCCAAAACUCACACUUUUUCAACUUGGCAUAGAGCUUCUUUUCCCGAAGCACUUGAAGUACAAGUCUCAAGUGUUCCUCGUGAUCCGCAUCACUUCGGGAAUAGACCAAAAUGUCGUUGAUCAACACCACGACGAACCUGUCUAAAUAAGGCUUGAAAAUACGGUUCAUUAGAUCCAUAAAAGCUGCCGGGGCAUUAGUAAGCCCGAACGGCAUAACGGUAAACUCAUAAUGUCCAUACCGUGUUCUAAAAGCCGUCUUCGACACAUCCUCAGGUCUGAUCUUCAACUGGUGAUAUCCUGACUGCAAGUCGAUCUUGGAAUACACAUAAGAUCCCUGGAGCUGAUCAAAUAAAUCAUCAAUCCUCGGUAAUAGAGUUACCGGCCAAGCCGCUUUCCUCGGUUUCCACAAGUGGUCCAUCGACCGCCAACCCUUCGUAGGCCCACCGCCUAACCUGUCUCGAUACGCGCAACACCUCUCGCUCGCAAGGGCAGACCCAAUCAAUAUUUUCGGGCAAAAUUCUCACUUGGAAAUUCGCACACACUCCAACCAGGAGCUAUCAAGACCCCCAAACCACGUCAAGUCCUCGGGUUGGGUCGCUACACACUCUGUGUGUCCUUGAUCUCAUGAUCUAACACGUGAUAUUCCACGUACUCGGGUCCAAGCUCGGACUACCGUCCUGAUCAAACUCUGCCCCACCCGUAGGUACCGGGCCGCUGUCACCCACAGCUGACUGCUCCUACCCGAAGGGCCCAGGCUCCACAGUCCACAAAUGAUCCAAGCACGGGUCGUCCCCAAGCAAUACCCGCGAUCGUCGUCCUACACGACAUACUCUAUCGAGUUGCACAUACCACUAUCGGCUCCUACGCACCUAGUGCGAGCCACCAGCCCUACGAGUGAUCGAUGGCCCGCUUCACACUUAGCCACGCUAAAGUGCUACUGCCAACACUCACUCGGCUGAAUCAAAUCUGCACUACACGAGUAACCACACUCGAGCGCUCCAUGCCUCUAAAGCGUCCCAUACGAAGUCCAGCAUUAGGCAAUCAUCGCCUAUGCACGCCGACUACACCAGCACGACCCUACUACCUCACAUCGAGGCACUACUAGGCCCACGCGCUUGCACUUGGUUACCAAACAACUAUUCCCCCAAUAGUGAUUCACUUUCACUAUUCAAUACAUCGGAACAACAUCCGAAUCACUUGGAUUACUCGAGUGUCUAUAAGUGCCAUGACUCAACUCUCCCGCAAUCACUUACUCACAUUGCUUUGAGAGUAAAUCUACCAAUUCCAUCUCUACCACGAGUCCCACUCCUUGCAAUUAGACUCACGCUCCUUCCGCACAUUUGCACCGCCUUGUUCUAUUCACAAGGCCUAAUCCUCAAAUCUCCUCCCAUCUCCGCUAUUCCGUACUUGGAAAAUACUCCUAGAAAAGGAGAAGGAGAAAAACCACACUUAAGGGUGGUCUCUGGCUGUGAUCAAGAGAUGAGGAGUUGGGGCCCUUUUAUAAACUGCCUCAAUUGCAUAAAAGCCCCCUCAAAUAACCCUCAAUUAUAACAGACCAAAACUGUAGUUCUCUGUAGUUGGUAUCAGUACACGUCAGGGGUGUAACCGGUCACAUGAUCGCGCAGAGGCCAAACCCGAGAGCAAGCUCUCUCUCCUCGGGUCGCUUGCUGUACCGAUACAACCAUCAACAUGUACCGGUACGCUUUGCUCCAGAAUACAGUUUUAGCUUGUUUUCGACUCCAUCUUACACCUGUCGAUGCUAAAACCAUUCUAACUCCUUUAGAACUCAAUUUAUACCCUUCAAACAUUGUUGGAAUGUCAACUGGACUUUGUCCGACUUCUUCUCUCGACGCACUUCAGCCAAUUUGAUCGAGAGUGGUUUAACACGACGAGGAUUCACUAACCUCUUUAAGGUUAUGAGGGUCGCCAAAGCUCGCUCCCUCUAGUGCAUGGCAGCUUCCUACUGUUGCUGCACCUAAUCGGCUCGUACCUUGCCAAUCCCACGAGAGUGGCCAAUUACUUGCGAAGUUCCAAGUCUCCGCUCGCCUCGAAUUGCUCAGGGACACCACUUGUCCCAUCCCGCGCCGAUCAAUACGAAGAUCGCCAAUGCGGUGCCAUCGCUUCCCAAACAUGACAACUUCGUUAACCCUCGACCCUCUGGGUCGUACACAAGACAACUUAUACCGACUCAAAUCGGGCGAAAGUCACGCAAGGGCGUCUAUUCUCAUCACUAGGUUUCAUGUUGUCGCGCGCCAACAUGAACACCCUUAGUUGAGGAUAAACCACACCUUGAAUCUACCUCUAAUCUCCUUUUUAGAGGUUUACUACACAACCCAAUCUAUUAACCUUUCGCCAAAAGUCACUAGUCCUCGUCUCUCACGAGCCUUAAUCUCCUAUGGUUUACUAUCCUAGGGUCUCCUAGGUCCAACUAAACCAUUUCUUCUUAUUCUUUUUAUGUUCUUUUCAUGUUCUUUUAUACUCUUUUUAUACUCUGAUACCAUCUUAUUUGUCACGCCCCUAGCCCGCCAAUUUGGUCGGUUUCGGGCACGCCAACAGACCUCCGAACGGAUAGCUAGGGUUUCCCCUGUACCGCGGACAGAGUCUCCCCUGUACAUUCAAGGCGUCGCAAUCAAUACAAUGUACGAAGUUCCAACCAGAAACACAUUUCAAUCAAAGAUUGCAUAAGGAAGUAUCAAAAACAUAAUUACAACUAAGUUUAUUACAAUCAUUCAACUCACAUUCACUAGAUACAUUUUACAUCACAAAUACAUAUUACUUACAUUUGCUUUCACUUAACUUCCAAAUACAAUCCGAUUUUAACAUGGUUAUUACAACUUAAUUCUUUUUAUUCUUUACAUCCCUAAGUAAAGCCAACUCAGGGUACCGCUAUCUCUGAUCUCGGUGGUAGGGCGCUAACUAUGAUGCUACGCCCUCGCCUCGCGCCGCCGCGCCGCUCACGUGCGAACCUGUAAUACCCCAAAACAACGUAGGGUGAGAACCAACUCCAUGGUUCCCAGUGGGUACGGCCACCCAAGGGAAAAGCUCGACCAAUAAGUCCAAUGAGGCACUUCAAUAAGUUAGUCCAAUACAUACGAAAGAUAUUUAUGCUUUUACUCGAUAUUGAACUACAUGUCAUGCCUCGCGAUAUGCAAUAUGAAAUGUAUGCAACUAUGCAAGUAGAGUAAAUGAUUUUGCUUUCUAUCAUUUUCAUUUUUUAUUGCUAGCCAUUCUUUACUACUUGCAUUCUUUCUUAUUAGCCAUUCUUUAUUCUUAGCUUUUCUUUAUUCUUAGCUGUUCUUUACUCUUUACUCUUUGUAGCGCUUACUCAAUGGCCACUCUUUUCUAAGGUUACUCUACCUUAAUUCUCUAUGCAACCCGACUCGGUCUUGAGUCAAUCAAUCGCGGAUAGUCCGCGCAUUGUCUAGCUUGAGGUAAAGGAACUCGCUCACAUGCACCUCAGCCAACCACAGCUCACCGCGCUCCAUGACCUAGCCGUCUGGCGGCGAACGCAUCGCACCUCACCCAAC